rnacentral:lncRNA from 1 species
AUUGUACCCACCUCCUUCUCUUUUUCAUCUUGGAUCAUAAUUGUCCAUAAAUGGAAAAGGAAAGAUUCAUUCAAAUCGAAUAAAAAUAAGAGGAGGUUGAAUUGUACUUUUAAGAAAUUUUGAAAGUUAUUAUUUCAACGUUUUGAGAAAUAUAACUUACAAACAUGAAAAAAUUAUUAUUUUAGCAAGUAUGAAAGUCACAAUUAUGACUUAGAUAAUAAGGCUAAAAUAAAUGCAAAAAAAAAUAACACAUAAUUUAUAUUGAUUCAUGUCCAUACAAAUUAUAUAGGAAGUAUUGUUCCUUUGUAACUUCUGACUACAACCCAAUUUUUUUUAACAAGUCAUAUCUCAUUUACACAUUUUAAUGGCAUUUACAAGAAAGAUUUUCAACACUUAAAUUCAAUUUAGACUUAACACUUAGUAUAAAAUAUACAAGUGUUCUUAAUAAGUCUAGGGCACUCCCUGUAUAUACAAUGGAGAGCUUUAUAGGGAAGAAAGACAAUGGAAACUUUUAUAGGAAAGAUGUAAAGAUAGUUUCAAUUACCUCCUACAUUUUCUAUUUUUACAAGAAUUUUUGGAAUUUCAAAUACUUCUUUUAGAGUAAAGACUAAAAACUAGUCAUUGUCUUAGUUUCAUUGAGAUUUGUCUUAUCCUACUGUACCAUCGAUAUCAAUAGUCGAAUGUUAUCAUUAGGUAAUAUGGCUAAAUGUCCCUUGGUUGAAAGAUCAGACACCACACGAAUGAUAUGGUCGAGUCUGAUUGUUAGGGAAUUAAUAACUAACAUUUUGUACGGUACAAUUAACCUCAAAGGUAUGAAAUCUUAUUUUAACACCAAGAUUAUCUGUGCAUUUUACUCUAAUACAAACCCAAAAAAAGAGUUCAUUAGGAUCCUAUAAAUAUGCACUGCAAGGCAAAGGUACACCUCAUUGAACAUUAUUUAUUACUUUCACUUAUCCUAUAUUGAAUUAUAUCUUAGGCAUCAUAGUAUCUUUUACAGGUACCUUGUCUGAGAUUGGAUAUAUUGUUGUAGAGGACAUCGGACGUCAUUAGUAGUAUAAGAAGACCCCUUUUCAUCCUUACAAGAACACCUACUAUUUUUUUUCUUAGUCUUAUUCUUUCUUUCACUUAAAGUUUCAAUUGAAUAACUUUGGAACCUAUGUUCACAUGAAAUAUUUAACAAUGCAUUAAUUUUUCUUUAUGUUGUUUAUCUCUAUUGUGUAAUGCAAUUUCUCCCUUUUAUUUUAUUAAGUGUUGUUACGUCUUCAUGCAACAAAUAUCAUAUAUAGCAAUUAAGGCAGAUGCAUUAGUUGGUACUUUGUAUUAGAGCACCCUUUUGAUGUGAAUAGAUUUUAAACAUUGAAUCUCCGGCAAAAAUAAAAAUUGUAAAUCUUCUCAAAGCUUUUCUCCACACAACAAAGGUAUUGUUUUAAAAACACUAUACGUAGCACAAGUCAAAUCAUGAUAUAGAUUAUUGUUCCAAUAAAGUGCCUAUCAAAUAUAACAUAUUACUUAAGCAAUAAGAUUGGGGGAAAAAUUAUGUAAAUGAUUUGUACGUGUAUAUAUAUGAAAUGCAGACUAGAUAACAAAUUAUAUGACCUGGUUAAAAUUAUAUUAAUCAUUAUUUACACUAUUCAAAAUCACAAAUAAGAGAGUAUGUUAACUUGGAUCUAAUAUCCAUCAAAAAAUGAAUUUCAUAUUCCAAGUGGUUGAAGUGAUGCUAAAUUAAGUUUUAAUAUCCCACAUAAUACGAGUUGAUUUUAUUUGAUAAAGAUUCAUAAAAGAUCAUAAAGUCAAAUAUCCUUGUUGCAAUGUUCCUUAAAGAGAAUCCAAAUAUCCAUAAGAGUGGUACAAAAUAUUUAUUUUCAUAAUAUUGUGGUACAAAAAACAUUCUUGAAGCACAUUGGUUUGUAUUUCCUUGGGAUAGAAUUUAGAAGCCAUGAGAUAAUGAUAUUGUUUGUUUUGUAGUCAUGCCAAAGAAGUGAGAUAUUGUGUUGGAGGUUUAAGGAUUGAAUCAUCGAUAAAUUCAUAUUUAUUCUUACUUAGAAGAGUUACCAUCAUAUUUAUUCGUAAUAUUGAUUUCUAAACUUUUGUACACAAUUUUGAUUCUUUAAUUUUAAUCACCUAUAGUGUUAUUUAAUUAAAUUGAUGAAAAUGUAUGAUACUUGUAGUAUUUUUACAAAACUGAAGACGAUAAACUUGUAAGAUUGAAGAUGGUGAUUUUUAAAACUAAAAAUUAAUCAAAAUUAUAUUAAUUAAAAGUUACGAAUUUCAAAUUGUGUAAAAAAAAUAUUGAAAAUCAAUAUUAAUGAUCCAAAAUUACAAUAAAAAAUUGGGAAUUAAAAUUGAAAAUUUGAUAAAAUAUAGAAACCAAAAUUACAAGAUAAAAAUAAGCUUAUUAAAUUUUUACUUUUCCCAAAAUAGCACAACCUAAUUAGUUCAUCAAGAGAUAUAUAGUAAUUAAAACAACUAUUUUUUUAUUUAAUUUUGGUAGGACGAUGACAGCAAAAUUAUGUGUGUAACAUCAUCCAAACUUAAUUUCCUCUGUAACUUUUUUUUAUCUACUUAAUUAAAUACUAAUAAAAAAAUUAUUUAAAGUUUAAUUAGUAUCCAUAAUGAGUGUAAUAUCAUUUAACACAUCAUGCUUUUUUUCUCAGAAAUUAUUCGUACGUUGAGUAUUAUAUAUACUGAAAACAAAAGUUUCAGAAGUUGAAACUAUAUUGUCCACUUUCUAAUCAUGUUCUGUGUUCGAGGAUAUAUAGGGUGGUUGUUUUUAUUGCACACAAAAGCUUUCUCAUAAUAUUUUAAUGCUUCCCCAAAAACAAUACUAAAUUGAUUAACCAAAAGAGAGACACAAAAGAUAAAGAAAAGAAAACCCUAAUAUUAAAAUCACGUCCCUUUCAAAAUUAUAAUAACAACAACAAUAGUUGGAGGUCAUGGGUGUGUUACAAAUUGUUCUAGGUUAUAAAAAAAAUAAGAAAUGAAAAAAAAACACAUUAUGGUAUUUGUUUAUGCAAUUGAACAACUAAGCCAUAUUCUCUUGUGCUGUGUCUGGUUCUUGAACUCUAUCAAAAUAAUAACCAUUCGCAUGUGAGAGUCUUGUUUGGCUUGGAACUACAUUAACUCAACAACUGCCAUGUGGCACGCUGACUUUCAUGACACGUGGCACGAACAUAUAUAUAUUAGGGUUUGUACAGUUAUGUGUUCUUUCUUUCUUUUUGCAUCUUUCAAUAUUUAAUUCCAAAUGCCAGUUAACAUUCGAUCAUCCCUUCUGUCUAGAAUGAUUAAUAUCCACAAAACAAGUUCCAAUGCUUCUUUAUGCAUAAAAGGAAAAAUAGUAUACAUGUUAAUUAAGGAUUUUUGAGCAAGUUAUUUCUAUACUCAAAAUUUAUAGAGUCGUGAAAAUUAUUGAAAUAGAUUUUACCCCUUUUAAUUAACAAUUACUUGUAUUGUUAUUUAACAAUUACUAGUAUAAUUGGGUUUGUUUUUUAUAAGUUUUUUAGAUAGUAAAAAUUUCGUAUAAAUUGAUACUCUAUAGACAUAUGAGUGGACACAACAAGUUAGAAUAAGAGAAAACAAUUUUUUGAUAUUUGUUUGUUACUCAUGUCCAAGUUUUUAUUUGAAUCAUCAUGAACAUUUUUAUAUCAUCCGCUAUGAGAUUAUUAAAAAUAACAUUAUUUCUAUGAGUCCAUAUGAUUCAUACUGUGUAGCAAUCAACAUAACUUUCAAGAUUUGAUUGCAUUUUCUAUUAAGCCAUAUAUGCUCAAAACCUAAAACAUGUAAUUUAACAUUAUUGUGAUGCACUAACAAAAUCCCUAACCAAGAAUCUCACAUAAUCCAUAUUUGGUUAGCCACCCUACAAAUGAAGAACAAAUGACUGAUGGAUUCCUCAAAAUUAUCACACAUGACACAUAUAAAUUUAUCUACUUGGAUACCUUUAUAAGCUAAGUUAUCAUAUAUAACUAUUUUAUUCAGAAACAUCCUACAAACAAAAAAUAAAGUUGAAAAAUGGUUUAGUACUCUACAAAAUUUUAUAUAUCUCUUCAUCCUCCCCAACUAAAUUACUUUGAAUCAUCAUGUAUGUAAAUUUCCCAAUAUAUUCUCUUGUUUUAUCUCCCUUCCACACCCAUUCAUCUAAUUUCUCCAUUUGUAUAUUGGUUUUCUUUAUCAGUUGUAACAUUUUCUCCACCAUUGGUUUUUCUCAUUCAAAUUAUUCCCUCAUUUGUCUAAAUGUCCAAGUUCAUUGACUUACUUACCAUGUUCUGAUCUCUCCUAUUAUUAACCCUUUUUUGUAGAAUUAGCAUAUAUUAUAGGAUAUAUCUCCUUUAAUGGUUCAUCUCUUAUUCAUGUGUCAUUCUAAAAUAAAAUCAUAUUCUCAUCCCCAUUUUGUCCCUUUAUAUUAUCCAUAAACCAUUUUUCUUUUUUCUAUACCGGAAAACUUUCUCGAGAUUCUUCCACCACGAGGAGUCACACUUACUAUCAUUUCCUUAAAAUAAUGAAUGUCAUGUUCCAUAUUUUGAUUUCAAGAUAUCCAACCAUAAACCACUUUCCAAACACUAUUUGGCAUUUUAAAAAGAUAUAAGAAGCAUACUGGCACAACUGAUUUUUUUAUUAAAGUGAUCAUUCUUGCUAAGGAUAUGUGUUUCUAUUACGAAGUGAACUUUAAGCCUAACUCAACCCCAUAAAACCGGCUCAUAGGGUUGAGGUUUGCACCCACUUAUAUACAAUGAAAGGCUCUAAUCUCUAGUCGAUGUGGGAUCUCCAAUAGUUUCCUUUCCAUUUAGCUAGCCUCUUUUUAUUUUUGCUAUCAUUUCUUGACAAUAUUCUUUCCUGCUAUGAUUUUCCCCACUGUUAUACGUAAAUAGGCAAAUGGAAGAUCCAUAAUACAAAAAUUUAAGAUCUCAAAAAAUCUAAACAAAGUAGAGGGUCAUAUAGGUUGUACCAUUAUAUUUAUACUUUGGUUUAUUAACAUAUAGUUUCAAAUUACCUAUUCUUUUGUUGUCCAACUGCUUCUCUAGAGAUUUUGGAUUCAUGACUCCUUAAAUUCUAAGAAAGCCAAAUCUUCGUCCCCUUUUAUUCAACCAACAGGAUAUGAAAACAUCAUCAACUUUUCCCCCACCUUCAAACAAAUUUCCACAUUUCGUAUUGGCCAAAGUCUAAUGAAAAAUGAUUAAAAAAAAAGAAAAUAUUUGUAGAGACUUCUUUCAUAUUCAUAUUCAUGACAAACAAUGAUAGCAUCAAACUUUCUUUGUUUGGAUAUGAUUCAAAUGUUGUGACAAACGAUGAUAAAUCAAACUUUCUUUAUUUAUAUCCGAUUCAAAUUCUCUAUAAUUUUGUUAAUAAUAACAAACUAAUUUUGACUUUCAUGCUCAAGUAUAUUAAUAAAUAAUAUCUAACUCAAUUAUUUUUGCUAAAUUUUAUUUAGAUUAUUUAAGAUUCGAAUAACUUAAAGAAAAUUGCAUACAAACAAAUAGUGCAUUUUCAAAUAUAUUAAAUGUAUGAAAAAAAAUAGUGUUAAUGCUGUAUUUAUCACUAUUAUAUGUUACAAAUUUUAUCACUUAAAUUCUUUUUUUUCACAUUUUACUAUCAAAGUUUUUUUGGCAUUUUAACAAUCAUUAAAUGUUUAACAAAACGAUGGCAUGCAAAAAAGUAUUAUUUUAUUAUUAAUUUUUAUAAAAUAAGGUUGAUUUGAUCUGAUUUUUUUUGCGUGACAUGAGUGUACUUUGUUCGAAAUUUAACAAAUUAAUAAUCAUGCCAAAAAUUAAAAAUUUAUGAUAAAAUAUAAAAGAAUAAACCAUAUAAACUAUAACUAAUGAUAGAUGAAUAGUGAAAAUGUAUAAUUAAGCUAAAAUAUAUCAUAUACAUGGACGAAUAAUUAUGAAUUUAUGUGUAACAUUUUCAUGUGAUUAGUAUCAUAAACAAAUGCAAGUAGUUAUUAAGUUCGAACACUCUUUUUAAAUGGCGUGUCCGUGUCGAACACACAUAUCGGACACAACACUCUUAUGACACUAUUCGAUUAAGUGUACAAUUCAAAAAAUAUUUGUUGGAUUUCUGACAAUUUUAACACAGGUCUAAUAUAAUUUUAAAAAUGAGAAAUACAUUAAUUUUCUAAAAGCUCAAAUUUAUUGUAUAAAUUUCUAUUAUAUUUAUAAAAAUAAAGAACAAAUCAUUUCAAACCAGCCAUAAAAAAACAUCUUUCUAUUCAGAAAAAAAACUGAAACAUACUUAAAUCUUUAUUAUCAAUUUAUAUAAUUCAUAAUUAUAUAAUAUAUAUNNNNNNNNNNNNNNNNNNNNNNNNNNNNNNNNNNNNNNNNNNNNNNNNNNNNNNNNNNNNNNNNNNNNNNNNNNNNNNNNNNNNNNNNNNNNNNNNNNNNGUAGUUGUUAUUAUAUAUAUAUAUAUAUAUAUAUAUAUAUAUAUAUAUAUAUAUAUAUAUAUAUAUAUAUAAAAAGAGUAACCACGAAAUGAAACAGAUAUUUCCAACAAUUGAUGCCAUAGAUUUGUUAAGAACCAGGGAUACACGAAUGGAAACGUGGAAGGAUGUCACUUUUUUAGAAUAAACAUUAAUGUACAAAUUAAAAAUAUAAAAAAUGAUUUGUGGGAAAUCACACCUUCUUUGAAUAAUUUAUGCUAUUUGUUCACUUUAAAAACCAAAUUGGAUUACAACAUUAGGUUAUUCUUUUAAGAGUGAGGUUAUGGUGGACCAUUGUUCAUAUAUGGUGGAUAAUUUGUUUUUCAUUACACUUGUCUUAAAAAAUUUAUGUAAGUUUUGAAAUUCCCCUUUAUAUGUGCCUUCUCUUCUUGCUUCUAAUCACAUUGUAUUAAAGAAUUAUUAAUAAUGAUGUGAUGAUUUUUUAGAAUUUCUGGAAAAUUAUACUUCUAUUUCUUCUCAUUUUGUCCUUUAAGUUGUUUUACAUGAAUAAAAAUGUACAAUGAAUUUUUCUAUUUUCUUCUUACACCCUAUGAUAAAUAUAUGUGUAAAUUAAUUAAAAAUUAAAAAUACGUAAAAUAUAAAGAUAUAUGUAUAAUUAAAAAAUAUCUAAGAGUAAUUAGCCAUUAAGUGCAAACAGCUCGAAGCAAAGUAUGUUGCUUUAGACAAAACUCCUUAAUAAGCGGAUUUGCUUAUAUAUUAAGUUAUAUUUGGGUUAAUGUGAUACACUCUCUUUCAAUGGGUUUCUAAAUUAGGUUAAGUUAUUUUAUACACACUAAUGAAAAAAUUUAAACACAUAAUUUUUUAUUGAUAAAAUUUAUUAAAUAAUAAAAGUUGGUGAAUUUUAUACCUUUUUCUACUCAUUAAUAAAAAAUAAUCACUACUAGAAAAUCACUAUUCAUUAAAUAGUAACGAUAAAAAAAUAAUUAGCUUAAAACUUGAAAACGUCAAAUAUUUUUAGGAUAAACUACUUUUAUAAGUUCACCGAAAUAUUAUGACAAAGUAUAUGUCUAUUUUAAUAUAAGCUUAAAAAAAUUGCAUAUAAAACUAAUAAUUCAAUAUUUAUUUAGUUAGCUUAUUUUAAAAAAGAGAGAAUUUAAAAUAACUUGGUAUGUGGUUGAUUUAACUUAUUUUUAAAUGUUAUUAUUUAUUUUAAUUAACUUAUAAGAAAGGCUUUUAAAAACCAAGUGAUUAUUUUAAAAAAAAGUUAUCCCAGAUAUGCUAAUACAAAUAUUGUUCUGUUGGUCUCUUCAUUAGUAUCAUCAAUGACACAUUUUAUACAAUGUGUUGAUUUUAGUAAUCUAAUAUGUACAUAAACUAAAAACGCAAGGUUUAUUAAAAUACUGAAAAGAACAUAAAUACUUUUAGUUAUGUUGGAUCUUUAUAUUAUGACCUCCCAUAUUAUUUGCACCAAAUAAUCAAAACAGUUUUAUAAACAUAUAAGAGUUAAGCUAACAAUUUUACACCAUCAUCAUCAUCUACGACUACAAAACCCAUUAAUCAUAUCUUAAUAAUUAUGAGUAAUUUAUCAUACUCUGCUUAUUUUAGAAGAUUUGUAUUGGACAUUCAGCAAAAACUAAUGUUUGACUCAUUUCAAACUCUUCUAUACAAACCUCAAUUAUGUAGUGUGAAGAAAAAUUUUCUUUACACAAAACAAUAAACCUCCCCUAAGUUCUAUCUACUACUUGAUAUCUUAAUUUAUAUUAUGUAUUACACAACUAUACUAGAUCAAAAUAUUAUAUAGAUAUUUGCAUGUAACAUACAUAAAUAAGUAUAUCAUACAAGGGCAUACAUGUCAUCAUUGUCAAAUAAUUUUUUUUUAUCAGUGAAAAAUAAAUAAAAUAAAAUAAGACAAUUCAGGAGUGUCUCAACUUUUAUACAAAAAAUAGUUUCGACUAACCAAUAAGUAUAUCAUACAAUUACAUACAUGUCAUCAUUGUCAUCUCAUUUUUUUAUGAGUGAAGAAUAAAUAAAAUAAAAUGAGACACUUUAAAGGUGUCUCAACUCUUAUACAAAAAAUAGUUUCGACUAACCUACUCGAUACUUAAUUUACAAAAAAUUAUCAUACUCUACAUAUCAACAAACCAAUCAUCAAAACUACAUAAAAUAGGUCACAUCAAAAGAAUUCAGCAACACUCAAUUAUACCAUAUACAUAUAGAUAUUAUCUUUAUUGUUAUAUAAAAUAAGAAUGAUGUAGGUUGGUGAGAUUACAUCCUCAAAUUUAUUUUAAAAUUUGGCUGGAAUUCUUGAAACUUCCUAAACAAAAUCAAAGCACAAAAAUGUUUACCACCUACAACUACCUAGGAGAGGUAGCUCAACCAAAUUGUAUAUAAAUUGAUGAACUUUUAAGAGGAAGAAAUUAGUGUAAUGAAUAUAUAAACUAUAGUGGAAAACACCAUUCCGGUUUUUCUUGCCCUAACUUUACCUCCUCUAACCUUGUGCUACAAAUGCAAAUAAUUGACCACCAUGAUCUAUAUAUAUGUCUUUGUCAAACAUAUUAAAACAAAGUCACUAUCAUUUUCAGUUAGGGUUUUUUUAUAUUCUGAAAAAGGCACAGUACAAUAGAGUACUCCUAUUAGCCUAUGCCCUAAACUUGGGACCAAGAUGCACCUCAUUAUAACCAUCAAAUUUAGUUUAAUCAUUUGUAUAUGGAAACUUGCUUUUAAGGGUUCUUCAUAAUCUCAUCUAAACGUGCUUAAUUCUUAUUCCUUUAGGAGGUUCCAAUCCACAUAAUAUUUGAGUCCUUGCAUGUCUUGGUUUUUGCGUUGGGAUCUUCCACAAACAUUUAUCAACUACUUUAUUAAUACAUAACAGGAAACAACACAAAAGCUUGUUUUGCUAAAGAAGGAGGCAUCAUGAGUUUUUUUAUUUUUUUAAUCUUAUUUUUAAGAUUCAUGGUCCUUUAUUUUUUUUUAAAAAAAAAUCAUGUUGACCCUUUAUUUUAUUUUUAAUCCAUCAUUAUCGUUUUCAACUUCUCAACAUGAUUUGAAUUUUUUUUUAUUGAUUUGAGACGUGAAAUGUCUAUAUUAUAUUGAUCUAAGUGAGAAUUCAAUAAACAAAUGAACUUAAACAUAAUGGAAAUUGCAUGAAAACUGAAUCUAACAAGCAAUUGAAGAACUAGAACAAAUUGGUAUAAUUUUUUUGGUUGUUCAUAUGUUUCGGUUCAAAUAUAAGUUGGAUUUCAUAGUUUCUAUGAAGGUGAAUUAUUAUAGAAUAAGUUUUUUUGAAGAUCUCAGAUCGACUAGAGAUGAGGACAUUUCAUUGUGUAUAAGUGGGUGCAAACUUCACCUUAUGAGUCGGUUUUAUGAGGUUGAGUUAGGCUUAAAGUUCACUUCUUAACAUGAUAUUAGAGUAAUUUUUUAGCACAUCUUAGCGAGAAUUUGUUGGAGAUCCCACAUCGACUAGAACUAAAAUGAUUUUGUAAAGAUGAAAUAUAUAAAUAAAAUCAUAAAACUAAUAUGAAAAAUAAAGUAUAGUUCUUUUAUUCUUAGAGCAAAGGGAGUUAGAAAAGGUUCAUUUUUCCCUUAAAUCCUAAUUCAUUGUUCCUUCAUAUGCUUUAUAUGAAACAUCACCAAUAAAAUUAUUUAUAUAUAUAUAUAUAUAUAUAUAUAUAUAUUAACAAGAAGAAAAGGACAUGUUAGAGUUGUUAAUUAAUUAGUAAAUAUAAUUAAGGGUUGAUUUGAAGGUGGAUGGAUGAUGACUUGAAUCGGACACAAAGGUUCCUUCCCACAUGGUGGUUCUUCUUAUUUGGAGCUAAAAUCAAUUUGGAUCCACUUAAGAGUUCUUAUUAUAAUAAUAGGGUGUAGUGGUUGUUUAUCUUAAAAAACUAUGAUCAAAAUCAAAGUAUGUGAUUUAUUUAUUAAGACCCAAAUAAUGCUUCCUUGGUGCCCAUUCCAUUAAAACUGCAUUAUUAUUCCUAAUACUAUAUUUAUCUUGCAAAUGGAAGUGCCUUUUUUUCAUGAUUCUUGGGGUGGAACUAGCUUUUCUUAACAUUCUUUCUGUGUGUGGCAAGUGCCUUUUCAUUUUUGUUUAUGGCUGGAAGUGGCUUAAGAAAUUUAUACACUUACCCUAAAAAGAACUUGGGCCACUCGGCCCAAUGUUACUACCAGGGAAACACAGUAAUGGUCUUCAUUUUCAAGUUCAAGUGAGUUGCGUUUUGCACCCCGAUAAACUAAAACCUAUAUAAUCUAAAAAUCUAUUUUUCUCCUUUUAAAAUUGUAUUUCGGAAUGUACAGUUUAGAACACAUCUGUUACAUUAUUCUUGGAUUUUUUAAAUGUAUUUAUAUUUUAUUUGAAUUAAUUUCAAACGUAAUUAGAGUUAUUUUAUAUUUUGAACAUAAAUCAUUUAUUUAAUAUAAUUUUUUAUUAGAAACAAUAUUCAUAAAAAUUAAACACAUAAUAUUUGAUAUAUUAAUGAUAAAAUAAAUUUAUACAAUAUCAUUGCUAAAUUUAAAAAUACAAAACUUAAGUAUAUUGUUAAACUAUCUAAGAAUUAGAGUUAUGUCUCUCUCAUUUGUUUCGUAUAAUACUUAGACUUCUAGUAUAAAUGAUUCCUCAUGGUGCCACAGGCUAACUACAAUACAUUGUGGGUUUCGCCCCAUCUUAGAGUACCUUCGGCCACAUGUCCAUAAUCGAUUAUGCAUUGCAGAAUAUUAGGGAUCCUCCUAAAUGUACCAUGCAUUAAUUGAACUAGUGCAUUAACAAGUUGAAAAAUUAUAACAGAAGAUCGUGGUAACACAAUAAUGGACAAGCAUGCUCAUGCGGUGACGAUGGUCGUGUUUGUCCAUCACUCGAACUAUGUGAUCGACAACUUAACAAUACAUACCAUUGAUCUUCAUCUGCUCGAGGAUGUAUAUAGAGGUAUGCCACUAAUUUGAGCUGGUGCAUAUAUCCAAUCGCUCAUGUUGAGGGAUGUGAAACUAGUGUCACACCGGUAACAAGAUGGUCAACAAAUUGCAAUCAUUGGUCAUUAAUGACAGUAACUACACUUCCUUCCAAAGGUGGAGGAGGCCAAGAAAUCGUAUGCUCAUACCCAAACUAGCGUAGAACAUGCUCAGAAAAAUAGCUUUGUGAGCAUGUCCAGAGCCAGAUGUAUCUCGAGAACAUGACUAUUGUCUCAAACAGUCGACUAGAAUGAUGAUCAUCAUAAGAACUCAAAAGCACCACAACAUGGAUAAGACCAUCCAUCUGGACGGGCACAACACCAACUACAUAUAUAUGGCGCUCGAUGACAUAACGACACGCCCGAGGGAGGAACUCCUAAUAUGUAGGAGUGAUAUUCCUAAUUAAGUGUUCAUAUAUUGACAUAUGAUCUAGGAUGAACAAAUAUUAUAUUUUUUUAAAAAUAAAUCUAAAUUAUUCAAAUUAUGUGUAUUAUUUACUUAUAACAACGUCACAUAACCUCCUAACUGCUUUGUUUGUGCAAAGUAAGCAUCCCAAGCUGAUUAUAGAUGUGGGUAAGUGCGAUAACUCCCCAUGCAUACCCACCACACAUUCUCAAAUUGUCAAAUAGCGGCAAGUACGACACAUUAAUCAAUGUCGUACUUUUAUCAUAAAACAUUAUUCACCCAGCCAAAUGCAACAAAUAAGUGCAAGCUAAAAACUCCCAUUUGUGGUGUACGAUGCCCUCCUCGUAUCUCGUGUGACCAACUCAAUCGAACAUGAGCACCACGACACUGCCUUUGUUAAACGCUGUAAGCAUAUCAACAUACCAUCUAAUGUGUACUCGUUCCCCUUGUGAACCUUAGUAGUGGGUCAAGUUAUGAUUGGAUGAGGGAAGUGAGAAUGUUGAGCUCUAAGAACGUUGAUCAAUAAAGUAAGUUGGUUGAGCUUCCUUGGUUGAUGAGGAUCCUUUUUAUCCACCAAUUGGCUAUUGUGGUUAUGAUAACGAUUGGAUCAUCUUGUGCAAGGUCGUUAAUGCAUAAGUCUUCAUUUGUAAAUGUGAUGGAUUAUCGAGUUUAUGCUUUGAAAGUUCACUUUCCUUGCUAAACUUGUAGUGCCUUCCCCAACAAACCCACCAACAUUAGUAUUAAUCGUCCCUUUGAUGUCAUUGGGAUUAUGCUAAGGUUGUUCUCUUUGUUCUUGCUCAAGUUGUUGUAUCCAUUGGUUCUCCUAGUGAUUUGCUCUUCCCCAACCUUGGAAUCUACCACGAAAUCCUCUGCCUUGACCUCUCCAACCUCCUCGUCCAUGACCCCAUUUGGUUUAACCGCUAUGCACAAAAUGUUCCAAAGCCCUUGAUCGAACGAGUUAUUUUAUCAGGUCAUAUACUUUAUGACAUUCUUUUAUUGUGUGACCUUAGUUUUGAAGAUAAUUAUACCUCUUGAAUAGAUCAAUAAAUGGAGAGUAUGGUGUGGUUUGGGGGACUCGUACUAGAUUAAGAUUGAUGUCUUAUGGAUGAUGGUGUCUCGACUAACAUUUAGAGGGGUGCAAUUUUUAUAGUUGCUUACACAUAUUUUCUUAAAGGUUUAUGUAGUAUUCAAAGGAGAGGAAGAUUGAGCAUGAUAUUUCAUCACUAUUUUUCAUACAUCCGAGUUUUCCUCUAUACUAAUAUAUCAUGUUGCUCGAUCACAAAGCUCGUCCAUAUUGACAAGUGGAUCAUGUUAUUGAGCUAAAGAAGCUAAAAGAUCAUGUUAACAAAGUGUUAAGAUUUAGUUAAGGUUUCCAUAUAUUUUAGCUAAUAAACUAUACAUUUACUUCAUAUCACAUUUUUCUUUAAGUAAUCUAAACAUAAUCACAAUAAUCGUCAUUUUAUUAAAAAAAACUAAUUACUCUACCACCUAUGAGUUCAUUCAUCUAUAUAAAUAUUAUUAUAGUAAUUUUGUUUAUAUUUUUUUUUCGUAAAAGUACUUCAUAGAGUGUUUAGAGGAAAUUUUUUAGAGAAAAAUUAUUUUCAGAUAAUUUAAUUUUUUUAUGACAAAUAUAUUAUUUUGAUAUAAAAAAAUUUAAAAAUUGAGUUGCAGAGAUGUGUGAAAGUGAUUUAAUUAAUUAAAUUUAAAUAAAUUAAUUUUUUAUUAAAAAAAUAAGAAUUUCUAAGUAUCCAUUUUCUCUCACCUAUAUAUAUAUAUAUAUUAUUUUUUUCAUACUCUCUUCAAAUUUUGGUUAGAACACUUUUAAUUUGGUUAAAAUUAAGAUAUUUUUGACUUGGUUAAGAUUAUGGUUGAGGGACAUAUUUCUUUUGGUAGAUAAGGGUGAAUUUUUCUUUCAAACUAAAAUUAAUCAUGUUUAUUUUUUAGCCAAAAGUCAAUGUUGUACUUAAUAUAUUGAUGAGAAUAAGUCAUGAUACCAUAUCUCGUACCACAAAAUAUACAACAUCAUGUAUAUUACAUAAUCUCAUAACAUAGAUUCAUUUCAUAUGCAUCACAUCUAAUUCAUAAACAUGUACAUAUUUCAAUACAAAUAUAUAAACACACAUCAUCAAUAUGUCAUACCAUGUAUGUCGCUUAGUGACCACUCGUGUCGCUUAAUGUUAUCAAUGUUACAUAAAUGAUAUUAAUUAUACACAAGAGAUGAUUAUUUUGACCUCUCUCUUAAGGAAAGAGAAUUAACAUUAAUUCUUUAUCACUUAAGUAUCACUUUGUCGCUUGAGUGACAUGACUUAGCGUAUAAGCCAACUCAUUUUAGAACACUAUCUCAAACUCAAACUCUCCAUCACUUGAGUGAUGGGAAUUUUAGAAGAGAUAUAAUUGUUCUAAUAUCUCUCUAACUCAAGCAUCAAGUCAUAGCUUGAUAAUGAAUAUUGCUGCUUGAGCAAGCAUGAUGACACUUAAAGAAUGGAAUUUGGUGCAAUAAUGAUUACUCAUUGCUUAAACAUUACUUAAGUGACAUCUUAACACUCAAGUAAGAUAUGCAUAAAAAACAAAAAUUCAAACUAAUUUGUGAACUAAUAAUUAAAACUCCUUCUACAAAAUUCAAUCCACUCCACAUGAUUUAAAUGCCCAAAAACACCAUAUCUUGCAUUCAAACUAAUUGAAAAACUAAUCAAUCAAAACUAAACUCGACUAUCAUUACUAGAAAAUCAUAAAAUGAAAAUCAAUUUUAAAGAUGAAAAAUAAUUAAUUGUUAUAUUAACUAAAUUAGAUACUAUUUUAGAAACUAAAAAAAUUAUUGGUAUCUAAAUUAAUUUCUAUUAUUCUAGUUUUCAAAUUGAUAUCUAGUUAACUACCUAGGUUUUAUCUACCAAUUAUUUAAAUUUUAAAGUUGAUAUCUAAAACUUUGAUAGCUCAUUAAAUAUUAAUUUAAAAAUUAUUUAUCAAUAAUAAAAACUAAUUUAGAUAUCAAUAAAUUUUUUCUCUCUAAAAUAAUAUUUAAUUUAGUUAAUAUAACAACUAAUUAUUUUUUAUCUUUAAAAUUAGUUUCUAUUUUGUAAUAUAUUCCAAACCUUAAUUUAAUCUAAAACUGAUAUACAUAAUUCAAACUAUAAUUCCAUUUCAAAAAGUUCUGAACAUCAAUUCAAAACAACAUUACAUUUCAAUACAUCUAAUUCAAAAGUUAAAUAAAUAAAUGUAUUUAAUUAUUUCCUCUUACCUAAAAGUAAUAUGUAAUAAAAAAUAUCUCCAAGUAAAUUGUGGUUCAACACAUAUUUAUAGAUGUUUUUUCAAAAACUUUUUUAUUCUUCUUUCCUUUAUUUUAAAAGUUACAUAUAAUAUAGUUAAAUUUGGUCUUAUGAAGACAGGGAGAUUAAAUAGAGAGAAGUAAGCAUGUAAAAAAAAGUUAAAAUGAGUUUAUAUAUAUAUAUAUAAUAUAAUAAUUGGUGAUACCUAAUUCAUUAAUAUCUAUAAACUUUAGAUAAGUUUUAAUCUAAAAAAGUAAUGAUUGAUUAUGUUUUAUUUUCUCACUUUUUGCACUCUAUUUCUUCACGUUUCAAUUUCUAUAUUUCCAAAUAAGACACGAAUUCCAAAAUUUGUUUAUUUCUCCACCCUUUUGUUGUUCCAAACUAAAUUAUAGGAUUUUUAGUAUCAGUGUAAGAGAAAAAGUAAACUCCAAUAAAUGAAUUUUUAUAUUAUAUUUUUAGGAAUCUAUAAUUUUUACAAUGUGAUUUAGGAACACAAGACUAUCAAACUCUAAUCAUAAAUCAAUAAUCCAUGCAAAGAAUCAUUAAUGAAUAAUUAUAAAAAAAAUUAUAAUUUGUUGACACUUAAGUGGUUUUGAUGUGGAUGAGGAUCUUAUUAUUAUUAUCACGCUUUUCUUUCUCUCUCCCAAAAUGGAUUCCCUGGUGAUGAUAGAGCAUUCAUUAUUUCAGUUAGAAAGAAGCACGAGUGUCACAGGAAAACAAGAAGAUAAAGCAGUUAUAAUAAUAUUAUAAUAUUAUAAUUAGAGUAAGAUAUUAUUUAUUUAUUUAUUUAUUAUUAUUAUUAUUAUAAUAUAUUAUAAUUAUGCAUAUAGAAGUUCCUGAUGCAAAUGUCAGAAAUUGAGGAGAGAGAGAGAGAGAGAGGGAGAGUGAUAGACAGAAGAAGAUAUACGAUUGGAAGAGGAAUAUAAGUAUAUUUGAAGAAGGAGAAAACCCUAAUUGGAGGAUGUGAUGUAUUGCGCGAUCGAUGGAAAAACCCUAGAAUCGGAGUAGGGGCGCAAUUGACGACGACGUAGAUGCUUGUUGUGGUUGGAGUGUCGUGGGAUCUGAAUUGGUUCCUGCAACUGUUGCUCUCCGUGAUCGUCGUGGCCGUUGGGGUUCACUUUUUCGUCAAGUCCACCGCUUCCAAGUACUUCGAGGUCGACGCCAAUUUCGAAGGGGACCACCACCAAGCCCUCGCCGACGCAAUGCCCGGCGUUCUCUCCUCCGCUGACGAUUCUCUCUGCCCCGUCUGCGCCGUCUGCGCCACCCCCAGCUCCAAGAAGUGCUCGCGCUGCAAAGCCGUCCUCUAUUGGUACGGUUCCUUUCUUCAAUCACCAAUGUGAUCGUUAUCAUUAUGUGGCGUUUUAUUAAUUCGUUUAUCUUUUUAUUUGUUUUUAAUUUAUUUACGUAUCAUCUAUGUAUUUGUUUGAUUUAGUGGUAGUUUAGAGCAUGUACAAUUGUGUUGGUGGUUUGAAUAGUACUGGAGCUUUGUUUGAAAUUUUUAAGUAAAGUUUUGAAUUGGAGUAUUGUGGAUGAAAAUUAUAUGCCUACAUACUAAAAGUGGUUAGAUUCUCGUGUAGAGAUUUGUCAUUAAUAAAAUCGGUAGAUAUUUCGUACUAAUAACAUAGUUACCAACAAAAUAAGAAUGUAGCUUUUUUUGUGUGGAAGUUUUGGUUGUUACUUGUUAUUAAUUGAGUAUGUUAUGUGGUGUGAAAUGAAUGUGGGUUCUGCUGAUAAAAUUGACGAGUUUCUACAUACAUAUAUAUAUAUAUAUAUAUAUAUGUGUGUGUGUGUGUGUAUUUAAGAAAUUUGGUGGGAAUAAUAUUUUUAUUUGAGUGGGAAAGGGGAGGGGUGGCUGGAUUAAUUUGUAUAUGUUUAUUUGGAAUUUGCAGCUCCCAAGAAUGCCAGCAGUCGCAUUGGAGGUCUGGGCAUAAGACAGUAUGCAAAGAUUUUCGUGAAGUCGGUGCAAGAAGCCCGACCCAAAAUGGGGUAAUUAAUCGUGGGUUUAAGUCUUCUGCUGCUGGGGGAAAGAGCUCGUCUUCGAUUGCGCUGAUACCUGGUUGUGGAACAAUUUCUAGGCCAAUCAAGCAGCCUAAAGAUGUAAGCUUCUUUAGUGGAUGUAAUUACAAAUUCACGUUAUGUGCUUUGCUUACUGUUGGUUGUGAAAGGGAAAGGGCAAUCCGAGGGGCUAGGUUUUAUUUCCUUGAGAUGAUGUGCAAAAGGCAUGCAGCGUAGUAAAUAAAAUCUUCAUGUCAGGGGAAGAAAAGGAAAAUAGUAAUACAUGUGACUAUUUUGCAUUACUGUUCCUUAUUAAGUUAUUAUACAAGAUAAUAAGAAUAUAAUGAUUUCCAAUUCAGAAAAGGGAAAAUAGUUGUACUUGUGACUGUUUUUCAUUUGUCUUUCUUAUAAGUAAAUACACAAAAUAAUAAGCUUAUCUUACUAUGAUUUCCAAUUAAGAAAAGGAAAAUAUUAAUGUGUGCCUAUUUGCAUUAGUCUUAUAUGAUUAUGAUUUCCAAUUUGCAAAAACCUUAAUCUACUUGCUGGAAAGGGACCUGAAAGACCAAAGUUGGUUUUAUUGUUUUACCCCUUCAGCUUCAAUGAUCAGAAUGGUAAAUUGUUGGGCUUUUAGAAUUUUUAUGUAAUAAUCAAUAAGUUACCAAAGGUGUGCUGCUCCUCAACUUCAUAAGGCAAUAGUGGUGUGCUCUUGAUGUUUCUUUUCUGGGUUGGGACUUUAGACCCUUGAUAUUUGGAAGUCAGAUUAGAAUGUUGUGCUCUUUACUCAGCGGGCAGUUCCUCAAUCAGCACGAGUUGCUGUCCCCUUCUGGAGCCUUCCUAAAGUGCCUUAGUCUCUGAUGUUAUUUGUUUACAGAGCUAAAUUUGGUUUAUUUUCUCAAAUGCACAUUAAAAUAUAUGCCUUGUCUUGUUUAGGUUCUUUUUCCCUAUGAUGAAUUUGUCAAAUUUUUUAACUGGAACAAGCCAGGAUUUCCUCCUUGUGGGCUCUUGAAUUGUGGAAACAGGUUUGCCCAUUUUCAUGACUGAGCUUCAACUUUAUUUCACUAUUGUUGUAUUUGCAAUUAGAGGGUAUGGGAAGUAAUUUAUAUUUAUUGCCUUUUUUUAGUUGCUUUGCAAAUGUGGUUCUUCAGUGCCUCUCAUUCACAAGGCCACUUGUUGCCUACUUGUUGGAGAAGGGUCACCGCAGAGAAUGUAAUGUCAUAGCUCAGAUCAUUAUUUCUGUGAUCUCAACUAUUCCUCAUGCUUAUGUCAUCAUUUUUUAUUCUCCAGGCACUUGUAAUGAUUGGUGCUUUCUAUGUGAAUUUGAAAAUCAUGUUGAUAGAACAAGGCUAAGUUCACAGGUGUUUUCUCCUAUGAAUAUUCUCUCUCGUUUGCCUAAUAUUGGUGGUACUCUGGGCUAUGGAAGACAAGAGGAUGCUCACGAGUUUAUGAGGUUUGUUUUUCCUUUUAACUAUCGUUUCAUUUUUUGUGUGAAUUAUUCAUUUCUGUUUUGAAUAAUCUCUUGAUGUUAUAUUUCUUUUGGUAAAUGUAGAAGGUAAUUUUUCCAAUACAUUUUUUGUAGGUUUUCCAUUGAUACCAUGCAAUCUGUUUGCCUUGAUGAGUUUGGUGGAGAAAAAGCUGUCCCUCCUAACCUCCAGGAGACUACCCUUAUUCAACACAUAUUUGGUGGCCGUCUACAAUCUGAGGUUGGACAUUUAAUCAGUUUGAAAUAAGCUUUUCUUGUUACUUUUCUAUUGUUUGAUUACGUGUAUAAUGCAAACAGACUAAUGAAUGAUGAUGUUGGCGUGGGAUGAAGUGAAAUUUGCUUUAUUUUUUCUCAUCUAUCUUUUGAACUUUAUAAGUUGUCUAACAUAAGAGGUAGGAGUCCAUAAUUUGCAUCUCUAUUUAAGGUUUGACUUUGUAGAGUUAUUUAAUAACCUAUUUGGUUUCUAUUUGAACUCCAUUUGAUUAUGAUAACAAUGAUAUUUGUUUACAAUUUUGAUCUGUAGAAACAAGGGAAUCAAAUUACAUAACCAAUUUUCUUAUAAAAACAUUUUGUUCCACAAAACUGUUUGCAAGUUAUGCUUUUUACAGAAUUGAUUUCAAAAAGCAAAGAAACAAAGACUGAACCAAACAUGGAUAGUUGGAUAUGCCCCCAAAGUCUCUAGUUUGUAAUUUUCUGUUCUCUUUGAUGAAAUUGACUCGAAGGCUGAAUUUUGUUUCUCUUCCUUCCAUGAUCAAAACUUUAGAUUUUGAGUUUAUUGUGCAAUACAUAAUUAUUGGAAAAAGCCUUUUCAGUACUACAGAAUAAAGCCUUUUAUAUAAUAAUGUAAAGAAAAUGCAAUUUUCUAUUUUGAUAAUGACAUGGAUGUGGCUGUCUGUUUAUUCUUUUUUCUUCUGAAACUAAAUAGGUGGUUUGCACAAAAUGUGAAAAGAUUUCAAAGCAGUAUGAAAAUAUGAUGGAUUUGACAGUUGAAAUUCAUGGAGAUGCUGCCUCCUUGGAGGAAUGUCUAGAUCAGUUUACUGCCAAGGAGCGACUUGAUGGGGAAAAUAUGUAUAAAUGUGAGGGGUAAGGUUACUCUUUCUAUUGAAAUAUACUUGUACCAUGUACCAUGCCAAUGUUUAAUAUAACAUUGCAAAUUUUUUCUUGCCACUGGUGUCAGUAAUAAUAUUAAUUAUAAUAACUGUUUUUGUAGUUUGAUGAAUUGAAUGGGGAGGAUAAGGUGAUGAUUUUAGAUUAUGAAUUGAACGGGAAGUUAGCCCUCCUCGGUCGGGGGAGAAAAUUAAGUCCACAAUGAUCUUCUGUGGCGGUAAACCAUGAACAGUAACAAUGUAAUAAAUUAACCAACUUAACUAAAUUAUUAUCUUUGAAACUCAAUUUCAAAUUUGGGCUUGGAACUAUAAUAUAGUCACUGAAUUAGUCUCAUCUGCAUAAAGUUUUCCUCAUCUCUUAAUUUUGAUAAGAUAACCAAGAUAUCGGCUUAUAAGGCUUUUGACCAUCUAUAAAAAUUAUGCAUCUGCGUUCUUGGUUUAGCUUUUAUUAAAGAAUUUGGAAGGUGGUGAUUAUAUGAUGUCUCCUGUCAAAUUUCAAACUUGAAGUUCAUUUAUGACGAUGCUUUGUAGUUUUCUCGCUGUAGCAAAAUGUGUUUUGCUUGAGAAUUAACCAUAAAAUUGUCUUUAGUUUAGCAGUUUCUUUUGCUCUGAUGAUACUGGAUUUCUCAUUCAAGUUUGUUUCCUGCUUAAUGCAGGCUUCUGAUUUUUAUUUUGAUUUUUAAUUUUGAUGUGUAUUUGGAUAACUGAGACUUAUAAUUUUGGAAAAAAAAUUAUAAAUAGGGAAAGUUUCAAUAGUGGAAAGUAAGUUUUCAAUUAAAAUAUAAUUCAAAUAUGUGCUUUUGAUAAUGUAUUUUUGCUGUUAGGAAUAUCCUGUUGUUAAAGAAGUUUUCUGCUGCUUGUCAGGUGCAAGGAUUAUGUCAAGGCAUGGAAACGCCUUACUGUGAAAUGCGCUCCAAAUAUUCUUACCAUCGCCUUGAAAAGAUUUCAGGUCUUACUAAUAUCAUCUAAACUUACAUACGGCCCACUAGUAUACAGAAGCAUGAAAGGCUUGAAUUGUGAAUUAUUUUUGUGAACUUUCUCAUUUCUUUUUUUGGGGUGUUGUGUACAUGCAGAGUGGGAGGUUUGGGAAACUUAACAAGAGAAUAGCCUUCCCUGAGGCUUUAAAUCUUAGCCCUUAUAUGAGUGAAGCUGGAGAUGGAUCUGAUGUUUAUAAGCUGUAUGGUGUUGUAGUACAUAUUGAUAUGCUAAAUGCUUCAUUUUUUGGUCAUUACAUCUGCUACAUCAAGGACUUCCUGGGGAACUGGUACAGGAUUGAUGACUGGAAGGUAGAUUUCUUUGUCUCCUAAUCUGAGUUUGAAUAUUUUUCUUUUCGGUAAUCGAGUACCCUGUCUAACUUAAACUGUCAGUAUCCUCAUUUGUGUUCCAUCACAUUUCUCAGGUUACGACUGUGGAGUUGGAAGAGGUACUUUCUCAGGGAGCAUACAUGCUUUUGUAUAGCAGGUAUUAUUGUGAUUCUGUUAAAGGCUAAUGCUCUCUUUAUUUCUCUGUCACACACCAAUAAUUUCAGAGUAUGUGGUUCGUAUUUUCACAUAUUUCUUUCCCAAAUAGCUGGGUUCUGUUAACGUUGUCUCAAUGGAGCUUGAGUACAAAUUUAGGUGAUUUUGUUGACUAACAUGGGCUGUAUUUUGCUCAACUUUGUAACUAUUGGUUAAUUUGGUCCCUGGCUUUAAUGUGCAUUAUAAAUGUAGUCCUUACCAUCUUGUACCAAAUUGACUGGUGGUUUCCUAAUCCAAUUAAUAGAUUAGGUAAUGUCAGCCACAAAAAUUUUAAUGAUACAUUUUCAUGAAACUAGUUGAUAGACAGUUGUUAAAGUUAGGGAUGCAAUUUGGUUAUUUACAAUAUUUAAGGAUUGAAUUCAUUUGGUGCCAACUUUCAUAGAUUAAUUAGAGUUUUAUUCAUUUUGUAUAUACAUCAUCAAGAAAAGAUUAAGUUCUGGUGUUUACUUUUUUGUCAAGCUUUAUCUUUCAUUUUGCUCUGUCAUUGCCCUUUUUGAAUGAUAAUAUUUGUCAGUUUCUUUCUCGAAAAACUGGUAAAGCAAUUUUCAAUUUGAUCCUGGACAGGUGUAGUGCCAGGCCAUCAGGCCUUCAAAUUCAAACUAGUGAAUCUUCAGGGAUAGCAGAAGUUCAAACAACAGAAGUGGAAGUGGAAGUGGAGUCUGGACAAACUGAGCAAGAUGAAUGCCUCCUCUCGAAUACGAAGAUGUUGACUUGUAGUAGCGGUUCUGAGGUUUUGCCAUCUGAUAUUAGUCCAGACUCAAAUGUUUCUUCCACGUACGACUGCGAGUCUUCUGCUGGAUUGAACUCAGAAGCCAAAGGAGAGCAGUUUGAGGAUAUGGGCAUGAUUAAUGUUGAUUCAACUGGUAUUGCAAAUGAAAUUUCUUGUAGUGCUGUUGAAUCAACAUCUGUGCCUUUUUCUCAACCCGUCAAUGAUUUGGGGGAUGUAGAUAUAACGGACAGAUCAUUUGAAGAGACUUCAGGCUGCAAGGAAGAGCAAGAAAAUACUGAUAUGGUUAGGUCGUCUGGCCCUUGUCCUGGUUCACCAAAUGACUCUUCCUUCUUCGAUAAACAUUCUUCUUUUUCAAGGGAUCAUCGAAACGUGGAAGAGGAUUUAGAACACAUAGCUGUGGUUGAAGGCAAGUUGAUUGCAGCUAAAGAUAAUACAUAUUAUGGUAAUGGAUAUGUCAGUGCAAACGAGUCUUCUAUUCCAGUUGAAGACGCUGGCAAAAUUUCUGGCAUCGGUUCUUCCCACUGAAAUGACAAAGGAAAUGGAAAUAUCAGCUGACAUCUUCUUGGUGCAGCUAUUUUUGUUAUUUCUUCUUUAUCAUUUAAUUAUCCCAUCAUCGAAAAAGGUGGUGAGUUGGGAAAUUUUUGUCCGGGGUUUCAUUAUUUGCAAUAACCUUGGAUCUUAUUUGUAACAAUUCUAGAUGAAUUUCCUAAUUUAUUUUUUCUGAUAGAAUAUAAUCCCUUUGUCCUUAUGUUCUGAGUUUCCUUUGAACUCCCAUUGUUGACUUUGGUUUAAUUAUUUUGAAAGACAAUUUUUUAAAUAAUAUUUAUAGUUUCAAAAUUUUAGCCAAUGCAUAAAUGUUUAUUGAAUUAAUUAAUUACACUCAAAUGACACUAUUCUUAAUCGGUGACAGAUUUAAAUCGAGCAUUAUGAAAUGGUAUCCAUGGAAAAUUCCAGCGUCCUAUAAAAACCAAAACACUAUCAUGUUAAAAGUUACAAUUAAGAAUAUCUUUUCCAUUUGAGAAAUGUUUUGUAUAUAAAUUCAUACAAUAACAUCUUUGUCUCUGUUCCUCUAAUUAUUAAUUAUUACAUGAAAUAAUGAUAGAGAUCGAUAAAAAAAAAUGAUACUGCAACAUUUCAUUUUGAAACGAGACUGUGUUUUGAUAUGUAUCUGAUACAGAAACUUUGAGUCCUUAAUCGUGCAUCCAUUGUCUUGUUGAAGCCCAUGAACUAGUUUUGUUUAAGAAAAUUGUGAAGAUUCCAUGGAGGAAGUUCAAUAGAGACUUUUUAUACUUCUUUUGGUAAAGGCUAAUUUAAGAAAAUAAGGUUGUAUCAUGCGUGGAUUAAGACCUUAGCGGCUUUUGGUUGUGCGAGCAUCUGGUAGAGGUGAAAGCACACGAGGAGCAGGAAAAGAAAAAGAUCACAACUAACGGCUUUUGCUUUUCAACAUUUUCCCUUCCCACACUAAUCUCUAACCCUUUGGUUUGUUGCAAUAAAAAAUACUUGUCUUGUGGAUGGGGCUUGAGCAUUGACUUGCACAAAAACGACAUAGCAAAGCAAAAGAAGACAAAGAUUCUUCAACGAGGAGCCAAAAGGGAGGAAGAAUAGAGGGUUGCUUCUUGCUUUUGCUCUAGGAAGGUCAGCCGAAAACCACACGAGUCCCAGACAAAACCCAACCCUUCUUCCCUUUGACAUUGUUGAUAUCCACUUUGAAACAACUCAGUGGUCCUUUCUCUUUCUUUUAUGCAACCUAAAAUCAUUAAACUAUUGCCCCAGCAGUUUUUUGUUUGCGUGCUGAGUGCACCCUUUUUCUCAUUUUUCAGCCCGAAUCCAAAGCAUAGGUAGCUAGCUACUCUAAGGCCAUUAUCAAAAGUCAACCACUUAUGCUCUUCUUAUCUAAUCCAACGGCAUAGGAUUUUAUGUUUUUAUGAGUAAGCAACACACGGGUGUGUGGUGUGAAGUGUGAAGUGUGCGUGUGCGUGUGCCUUGUCAUCACAUGAUACUGUCUCAAGUGUCAACCAUCCGAUAUCCAACCAAAAGAGUUCCACAGGAAGCUUCCUACCUCUCUUCCUACUUGUUGGGCUCGCUUUCCCUUUUCCCCUUUUUCACUUUCUUCUGAUUUCCUCCUCCAAACUCCUUUUUAACACACACCAUAUUGUGUUCUCCGAAACAUUCACUCACUCACUCUCUGUUGCUUAGAUUUCCUAUCCUAUCCACCCUCAACACAGGACCAACUGCUUCACUUCUGUUAUCAGGUACUUGUCUUACCUUCAUUACUUUUGUUCUUGUCUCAUCGUUAUUCUGCCCUUUGCUGGUUACUCACGAUUGUUGUAAUGAAACCCCUUCUGUCUGCUUUAACUGUUUCCACUAUUUUCUUUUCUUCUGCGUGGAUUUCUACCAGUAGGGUUAGUCAGGAAAAGGAAAAGAAGGAAAUUUAUCUGGAUUUUGAACUCUCAAGUUUCAUGUUUGCUUCUAAAGUAUAGCUUCUGAGGGUUUUUUUUUUGGGGGGGGCGGAGUUGGGUGCUUUAAUUGGUUAACAAAAUUCAAGAAUGAGCCUUGCAAAUUCAAGGGGUUGGAGAAAGAAGGGGAAAAUUUUGAUCUUUUUGGGUGAAGAUAAGAACUUUUGGCGUUACCCAUUUAAUUUGGAAGUCUCAAUUCACAUCAAUUGGCCUUUAUUAUUGGUAAAAGCUAUUAAAGUGAGAAAAAAAAUCGAUUUAUUGAUAACGUGUAUUCCCUUUGUUGUUUCUACAGUUGUUUCCUCCAAAUUUGGGGUCAAUGGAACACAGUUUGAAAAGAAAGUGUCCAGAAAAUGGAGACAAUUUAGUCUUGAACAGCUUUUCUCUGGAUGACCUUAAUGAAGAUCUCUUAGAGAGGGUGCUUUCAUGGCUACCGACUUCCUCCUUCUUCCGCCUUACUUCAGUGUGCAAGAGAUGGAAGUCAGCUGCUGCUUCUGUGAGUUUCAAGCUUGCCUGCUCACACAUUCCCUCCAGGGAUCCUUGGUUUCUGAUGGUUUCUCCCAGCCUCAACCAAUCUAUUGUCUUUGAUGCUGCUGAAAACAGUUGGAAAAAACUCAAUCACUUGCGUCUUCCGCUCGAAGACUCCAACAUAAACUGCAUGCCUGUUGCAGCCUCUGGUGGCCUGGUUUGCUACCGCAAACUUUCAGGAAACUUUGUUGUAUGCAAUCCAGUGACCGGAUCCUGUAGUGAACUCCCUCCACUGCAUUUCCCCUCAGAAAAUCAACCUCUCAAUGCCGUUGUGAUGAGUACAACUUUCAGAGAUCAAAUCUCCUACAAGAUUGUGUUAGUCUUCGGUGAACUCCCUAAUCUUAUGUUCAAAGUCUAUGACUCAAGCUCUUGCUGUUGGGAAGAGGAGACUGCACUGAGGAGGGAGGUUGAUGACAAUUCCAUUGGUUGUGAUUCAAUUGAUGAUGACCAUGUUGUGUACUUCCUUAGCAAGGCUGGUACAGUGGUGGCUAGUAGCAUGCAGAGGAGCCCAUCUAAGCAAUAUUCCUCAGUUAUUAUUACUCACAAAGAUGGUCAGGAAAUGGUGUAUUUCCUGAGCUCCUCAGGGACAGUAGUAGCUUGCAAUUUGACAUCCAGGUGCUUUUUUGAGUACCCCAGGUUGUUGCCUGUUUUCAGUGAGUACUCCAUUGAUAUUGUGGAGUGUGGUGGUGAGAUGCUGGUUGUUUUGUUAUCAGAGUUCUUGGAGAGCACAAGUCUUAGGGUGUGGAAAUACGAUGACCCGAAUCGAUGCUGGCAACAGAUUGCUGCAAUGCCUGCAGCAAUGUCUCAAGAAUGGUAUGGAAAGAAGGCAGAUAUCAACUGUGUUGGAUCUGGCAAUCAGAUAUUUAUAUGCUUGAACUCCCCUGAGCUAUGCACUUACAUUCUAUGUGAUUUGGCGACCAACAAUUGGACCGAGUUGCCGAAAUGUUGCAUGAAUGGAGAAGUCAUGGAGUUCAUGUCUGCCUUCUCAUUUGAGCCGAGGAUAGAGGCUUGUGUAUGACACUGAAGAGCCUCAGCCUGGUAUCUUGAUUUUGGUUAUCAACUGUUUUUUGUUGUUCUUCUGUUAGCUUAAAUUUCCUUCCACCUUGUACUUGAAUUUGUCAUGCAAAAUAGCUAGGGCUGAUUUGGUAUGAAAGUAGAGAUGGAAGCUCUAACCAAAUGAUUGAUUUCUAACUUAGAUAUUGUAUUGCUCUCCAUUGAUUGUUAGAUGUACAAUGUUUUCACUGAAUGGCAUUAUCAAUGAAUGCACCCUAUGUUAGAUACAGAAUGCUCAAAUACUGAGUUUCCUAAAGUCAUGAUUUGAUCCAUGAAUUGUUUCUUUAAGAAUCCUUUUAGUCCUCAAAGAUAUAUGAUAUCAAUUUGGUCAGUGGAAGAAAGUUUACUUUAAUUUAGUUCUUCAUUUAUGCAUAGUAAUGGUUUAAAAUCACACUUUCUGAUACCAAAACACUGUUAAUGAAGCUGUUAAGCUUCAUAUUUAGAUCAAAAGGACAUGUAAAGUGUGUGCAUGGCAUUGUCUUCUUUCUUUCUUACUUUAUGAUCUUGUCUUCAAUGUAGUGCCCUAACCCUUUCCUACUACACCUUGCACUAUAAAGUCAAAGCAGAGAAAUGCAUAUUCAUAAUCAUUGGACAAACUAUUUUAAGAGGGUAAUUCAUUCUCUAUAAAUAGAAUUUAAAAUGAUUUAUGAGAAAAUAUAUUGUUGGGAUAAAUUGAAUUUUCAAAUUUCAUCAAAGUAAUUGGUUUACUUAAGAUAGGAGAAUUUCAAAUUUUUACUAAAAAUGUAAGAAUUUGAAAAUCUUCAUAUUAUUAAAUUUAUGUUUUUUUUUCGUAUUUUCUCCUUAAUUCGAUUUUGGUUGAGAUGAUUGCUUCUUUUUGGUUAAUAUCGACGAUAGUUUUUUUUUUUUUUAUGUUAACCGGAGUUAUUUUAUGAUUUAAAUUGUUAAAAUUAUUUUUGUUUAUUAUAAACUAGAAUUUUCUCGAUCAUUGUUAGGAAGACAAUUAGAUUUUUCAAUUGGUAUUUGUCCUGAUAAUUAGAGUGAAUAUUUUUGUAACGUUGACAUGGAUGUUAUUCUUUGAAAAUAGUUUUUUAGGGUUUUUUUUCUUCUAGUGUUAACUAGAAAAACCGACAUUGAUUAAAAAAGUUGAAGAACAACCAAACUAUCAAUAUAGUAAAAAUAAUUUUGAUUGAUGUCAACCUAAAUAACUUUUAAAAUCAAUGGAAAAUAAUCCCGGUUAACAUUAAUCCAAUCUUAUUUUUUUCAAACAUAAGUUGAAAAAAUCUUGAAUAUGUGGAUUACUUAAAACUACAUAAUUUUGAAUUCGAUUUAAAAAAUAAGAAUUUGAAAUUUAACAUAUUUUCAAAUUCAUGUGUUUUCUUAUCAUAUUUUUUCAAUCGAUACAUUGUUGGAAUAAUUACUUUUCGAUUGAUGUUAAGUAGAAUUUUUUUAUUAAGAUUGAUAGGUGUUAUUUUUUAUUUAAAUUGUUAUAUAAUUAGUUUUGUUGUCAUUGUAGAUCAGUGUUAUUUUUUUACUCAAUAUUUUGUUGGUUAAUAUAAGUGUUUUUAUAUUAAUUUAUGAUAAAGUUUAUUUUACUUAUUUAUUUUAUUUUAUUAAAAGUGUUUAAAAAAAAUUGAUCUACACAUGUAAUUAAUAAUAUGUUGGCAAAAGUUGGCAAAAAUUAAUGACAUACAUGAAUUCACUAUUUGCUUAAGUGAGUCACAUAUUGAUUGAGGAAAUCUACGUCAAAUGGACUACAACUAUGUAAUUGGAGCCUCACUUGAGCAAAUAUUGCGAGGUUUGAGUGAAACUACAACACAAAUGUAUGUUCAUGUUUUGCUUGAGCAAUUUUGUUCCCGUCUAAGUGAGAUUGAUGGAUAAUACCUUAUGUCUACUCUUGCAUGGACGAAUGUAUAAUCGUUUGUAAUUGGAAACUACGUUCAUGACCAAGUGCUAAAUAAUAAGUUCAAUAGUAAAAUAAAAUAUGGAAAAGAGGUCAAGAACAUAUUGUGCAAAAACAAAUAUCAAGGUUACCACUUAGCUAAACUGCGGUCACCAAUUAUUCUCAUAUGCACCACUGAAUUACCCCACAAUUGUUCACACAAUGGAUUAUUUUUGGCACAAUCCAUUCCUUACAAUCCUCAACCAAUGACAUCUUUUACAACCAACACAACAUCACUAAAUGGGCAACACAAGCACUUUCAUGAUAUUGGGGUACAAUUGGUCAAGUCGACAAACAAAAGUCCUCAUUUGAGGAAACUACUAACUCACUUCAUCAAAUCCAUCACUAGAGCAAACCAUGAUGUGCAUCAAAGGAAGUCGGGUCACCUCCCCAUCAUCCUUCUUGGCCUUGUGGGUAAGACUUUGAAACAUGACAAGUGUGCAAAACCUCACACUCAGGUAACUACAUACACAAACAUGGGUAACCAACGAUUGUCAACUUCGCCAACAUAAUACCCCACACAUUGGGUUAUCUUUGGCCACAUUCAAAGAAAUUGUUAGAAUGGUUGGCUUUAAACUAGAGGGGGGGUGAAUUGUUUAAAGAGGGUUUUCGCAAACUUUUAAGUCAAGAAUGAAAUUAUCUCAAGAAGCAAUUGAUAAGGAAUCCAGUUUGCCAAAACAACAAGCAAAAACAGCAGUACUAGAAAACAAAAACAAAAACUGAAUUAAAAGAGAUUAAGGAUAGAGAGAUUGCACACAGAUGUUUAUACUGGUUCACUCUAAACCCAGAGCUACAUCUAGUCUUCUCAGAAACCACUGAGGAAAUCCACUAAGCAACCACACCUUGAUGACUUACACCACAACCAAGAAAGUGACCUUGAUCCCCUCAAGACACACACUUCUCUUGGCCAACACACCAACACUAAGAUUUCUUAUCUUGAUCCCCUCAAGAACACACAACAAAUCUUAGCAAACACACAAACGAAACUUGUUUAACAGAGUACAAGGAUUACACUUGUUACAGAAGAUAAUCUAAAAUCAGUACAAGCAGAAUCUUAUUCCACACACUUUGAUCAAUCACAAACUCUAAGCAAUCUCAGCUCUUUGAAAAACUCAAAAUUUGUAUUAAAAACUUGUUACUCAAAUUUGUUUUUCUGAAUUUAUUCAAAGAUGUUGUUUGUUAUCAAAUCUUAACAAACUCUUAAAUUGCAUUUAAAGAUUGGUCAAAGCAUUUAAAGACUGGAGCGUAAGCAGUUAAAUCAUUUAAAGCAUUUAAAGCUCAGUCAAAGAUAAAACAGUUUUUCUGUUAUGGUACCAAAACAAACAAUCGGUUGUUUCCUCGAAUCAAUCGGUUGUUUUGGUUUUAACAGCUUAACCAUUUGAAAAACAAUUUUCAAUCUUUUCUAAAAGCAUCUAAGUAUAAACAAUCGGUUGUUUUGACAAAACAAUCGGUUGUUUCUAACUUAGUUUGAAAAACAUUUUUCUUUCAAAAAGAUUGAGAAUGCCUAUGCUUUGGAUUCAAUCAAGAGGUGAAUUACAAUACACAAUCUACCCUAGAUCCUAACUAAAACAGCACAACAACAGCAAACACAACCAAGGCUUCAACAUCCUUCAAAGGGUUUGGAUUCUUCAAAGCUUGAACACCACUUGGUUCAACAGAAACAACUACUAUAAUCGGGGAACUACAUUCAUGAGCAAGUGUUAAAGAUAAACUUGAAUUGUAAAAUCAAAUAGGACAGUUCCAUCUAACCUUUCUCCCCUUCCACCGUUUCUAAGAAACAUACAAAGGGCACAACUACUUUGACUUCUAUGUGCCUCCUGUAUAUAGGAUACCCUACAUGUCCUUAAUUGCCCAACUAAAACAUGCCCUAUUCCAAGUUUUUGCCUUUUGAAAUAAUAUAGAUAUUUAAGGGCCUAAGUAUAACCAUUAGCUUCUUUGAAUCAAACUUUCCAUAACUUUUCUAAUUAAUGCCAUCACAAAUUUUUCUUUCCAUACAAAUUAAAUAAAUGCAAUAAUAUCAUUGGUAAAAUUUGAAUCCAACUAUACUUUUUAUCACCAUAUCUGAAACAAAAAAGGCUUAAAUUGAUUUUAAAUCUAUAUUUGAUUUAUCUCUUCAGAUGCUUUAGGAAAAGUACUAUAGAACAAAAUUAGCGUUGUUGUCAUUUCAAAAAAGCGUUCAAGUAAGACAAUGAACGAAACACCUAGACAAGUGAUGUAAGUUGAUUUUAAGAUUGUACAUUUGAGGAGUUUCACAUUUUUAUGAGUUUUUGGUUUUAGGCAGAGUAUGGUGAGAAACCCAAAGAAGAUUGUCACUGGAAACGAACUUAACCAAGUGGUUAAGUCGUGUGAAGGUUCUCUUCUAAAGGGCAAAAAGAAAACACAAUUAUAUGGUGUUGAUGAUGAUGAGGUGCAAAAUUAAAGAGCAUAUGAUGGAAAAAAAAAUAAGAUGGAAACCAAAUAAGAAAAGAUGACAUAAGAACAUAAAGGAAUGGAAAUGGCACAAAGGAAGAAAAAUAAAAAGAUGAAAGGAAAGAGAAGCUUAGGAUGAUGAAGGUGUAGUCACACCACUUGGUGGGGGAGAAGACUCCAAGAUGAGUGGUGAAGAGUCGCCACUUGAGGUGCACUACACUCAAAAUAAGACCCAAUUUAAGAGCACUCAAGACUCACUAAACACUCUUGCAGAGUUUCCUUUCUAUUUCAAAAUUCAAUGUGAAAAUACAUGAGACAAGUCAGCCUUUAUAUAGGAAAAAGUGACAUGGGGAGCAAGAGUGAGAGGGGUAGGGGUGUCAUUUGUGAGAAACCUUCUAGAAGGUAGGUCAACCCUAAACCUAGGUGCACAUGUCAUGAAAGGUGGGCUUAGCACAAACCCAGUUUACUAAGUACACCCUACUCUAGCUUAUUCUUCUAUUUGGACCCAAACUGUGCCCAAUUUAUUUACAUAAACUUGUCUUGUGAAAAGACUAGAAGGAAGAACAUCUGAUGUUCUGGUUUAUGUUUGAUUCUUCUUUUUCUAAGGCUCUCCUGAGGUUUGGUGGGGCCUGGUCUUGUGUGUUGAGAUGACUGACCUAAUUGUGAAGUGUUUAUUGUGUCCUUAGUCAUCUACUUGUCGAGGUGGUUUGUAUCACAAGGGGAACCAAGAGAAACAAGAAUUCAUUGCCUCAAUUUCUAUAGUCCAAAGGAAAAAUGUUCUUCCAAUCACCAGUUCAAUAGAGAAUAUAUGAUUUGUAGUUAGUCCUCAUUAGAGCAAAGUUGACAAUGUUAAUUGUGAAGAAAAGUUGUUUGAGGAUCCACUAAACAAUUCACUCAUGUCAAAUAUUGAAUGAAGACAACACUCACCAAUACAAUCCUUAUAAGCGUGACCACUGUUGAUAGAAAGAUCAAGAACAAAUCUUUUGGUAUGCUUAAACUAGAUCUACUGAAAAUGCCAAAAUCAUUAAUUUGUAUGUAAAAAUACAAAGAGCUUCAAAAUUUUACGAAACCUAGAUAUAAAAAAAAUCAAACAAAGCUGAAAACAUUAUAAAAUGACAAUAAUAAUGGAUGGUAAUCAAAAAUCCAUAAAUAUGAUCAUUUGAAGCACUUUUGGUUCCUUUGUGACUAAAUCUUUAACUUAUAUUUUCCUAAAUGUGUCACUAAUGGAGGAAACUUAUAAUGCAACAAGUCGCAUGAUAGAUUCAUCAGUGUUCCAACAUGAACCAUUAGGCUUGCUGAUGAUUAUUUUACUACAAAUGUACCGUAUCAAAAAUAAUAAUUUGUCCAUAAGGAUAGAUAUCAAGUAUAAGAUUUACUAAAUAGAAAACAAUAAAUAAAAUUUUGUAGGAUGUUUGUUGUGUAUGAUUGCAAGAAUAUAAAUAAAGCAAAGUAAAGAGUUGUUGAUUCAAUUGGGAAAAUUGGGAUUGAGUUUCAUCCAUCUCUCUUUUUUGUAUUUUGAAAAGCAUAAUAAUAUUCUAUCAUUUGAUUGAUAUUGAUUCCCAUAUAAAAUUUAUUCAUAUCGAUUUCUCGCAUAUAAAAUUAUUAAGAUAGUCUCCUAAAUAUCGAUUUCUCGCAUAUUUAUAAAAACUCCUUAUCCUUAUGAUUAGAUGUUGAUAACAAUUAACAUUUCAAAUCUAUUCUGAGCAUUCAAAUAUGUUAAGCAUCAUCAUUUAAGUCAGAAACUUAGAGGUAUUUUUCAGUUAAAUUUAAGGAUUAAAAUCAUGAUAAACAAGCAUUACAAAUAAAAUGGCAAUAUCAAUCAUCAAUCUAGAACAAAAUAUUAUAUUUAGAUCUCACUUCAAUAAGAGUUUGAACAAAUUACUACCAAUCCCAAAAAGGGUAGAAUUAGUCACUCAUGUUGGUCAUUAUAGCAUGAAAAACAAGAAAAGAAGAUCCAAACGAUUGCCUCCUCUAAGGUUUUCUAUCACCUUCUAUUCUCCCAAUGAUGUUUAGGGUUGUGUCUCACAACUCAUAUUUAACCUAGUUGGUCUUGGGUUAAGUGACUUCUUCGCCUGAGUGAGUUGGACGAGAUAAAGCGCAACUUCUCUAGAGUGAUCUCGCCUAGGCAAGGUUAGACUCGCUUGGAUUCCUCUGGAGUGCUUCUGGCUUAGGCAAGUUUUUGGACGACUUUUGAGCGUUCCAACUCAUUCUCAUCUUGUUUAUUCUCCUUUAGUCCUUUCAUCUCCAUUUUUCCAUAGAAUCUUGAAAUUAACAUAAAUUUAGGAAUAGAUCAUUUUUAUUCAUGUUAUAGUCACAAAAAAAUGUAAAAAUAUUUAAAUUCAUAAAUUAAGAGUUAAAUUAUAGUUAUUUUAUCAAUAAAUAUAUUUUAUAUUUUUAUAUAAAAUAUUACUAUGACAAUUAUUACCUGUUAUUUUUUUCAGCUUUUUUUUGUGAAAGUAUAUUUUACAAAAAUAUUCCUGCUAUUACAUGUCUCACUCAAAAGUUUGGACUCAUAGUGCUUGUAGAUUCACGAGCUUAAAAAAUGUAACAAUCUCAUGAACAGAGUGCUGAUACCACUUAAAGUUGGGACCAUACAACUUUCACUCUAACUUUAUUCAAAAUACAAAUUUAUUGUUAAGGACAGAAAUAUCCUAAACUAUGUAAACACAACAUUUUCGGUUUGAAUAAAAUAAAUCUAGCCAAACACAAACCAUUUUUUUAUUCAAAUAAUGAAUUUGGUAAACCAAACUUAACAAAUUUGUUUACACAUCCAACAACAUUAAAUUGUAGUCUUGUUUCUAUCAAAUACCAAAUUAAUAUUAUAAGUACCUUUUACUUAUUAAGGAUUACUUAUGGAACAACUUAUACUUAACCUAGUUAAGGUUCACACCACCUUUAUCCUCCAUCUAAAAUUCAAUAAUAAAUUAACAUAUAUAAUAAUUGUAUUCAUAUGUACAACCACUUUAAAAACUACAAACUAAUAAUCUAUUAUAAUGAAGACGCAGAAAAAUUAAAUGGAUAGAAUUUGAAUAUUGAAUAUGAGACAACUAAUUUACUUUUUGAAAAAAAUAUAUAAAAUAUUCAAAUCUUUCUCUAAUAUUAUAGUUUGAUGAUAAAAUAGCUCCUAAUUUACUGUUAAAUUAAUCUUUAAAUAUAUUUAAUAAAAAUUAAAGUAAAAAUAGUUCAAAUUAGCUCAAUCUUUUGUUGGAAUGACGUGGCAGAGAAAAUUGGGAGAUUCAUUCAGAUACCAGUAAGCUCGUCCGUAGGCGAUAACCGCUUCUGGUUUUCCCCUUCCAGAAGAAAACGUUUUCGGAAGUAUAUAAAAAAUAUCAAAACACGGAAAACGAGAACUCACAACGCUUCUGAAUUUCAUGUUUUGAUCACAAUCUGAAGAAAAACCACUUCAAUUAGAAUUCCAAUUUGAGUUUUGUGUAUAAAAGGAAGGGAAGAAAUGGAAUCGGAGGAUUUGGUGAAACAGGAAUUGGAGGAAUUGCAGAAACAAUUGGGGAAGAAGCAGAAGUUUGAAGCUUCUGUUUCGUCCCUCAAAUGCCUUCUCCAAUGCUCAUAUCCUUCAGCUUCUCUAUCGCUUCGCCAAUCCGUAUGCCCUUCUCUAUUUAUGUUCCAAUUUCUCAUUAUAAUUUUUGCUGCGUUCUUCAAUUUAAUUUUGUAACUUCUGGGUUUAGUUCCUUUUGCUCUGUUUCGUUUACUUUAGUCCCAAAGAAUUGAUUUUGAUAUGCUUGAGUUGAUAAAUAUGGUUGUGUGUGGAAUAACAAUUUAUUAAAUUAAUGUUUGGUUAACCUAGAUCGAAGUUGUUUUUGUUUGCAUGUCAUCUUCAAUCACCUUGGAAGCACGAAAAAAUUGUAUGAACACUUUAAAGUCUUCAAGCAAUACAAAUUAGAAUAUCAUUAUAUCACUAAUUAGAUACCUAUACAAGUUGUAGGAUUUUGUAUGUGGGGGAACGAUUUCUCAAACUUCUCCCUGAGGACUUCAAGGAGAGAAAAAUAAGAAGAAAAAAUGAAAUUGUUUUCUCUUCAAGAGAAAAUUAGUUUGUGCAAAAGCUAAUUUGUAGAAGCUCUCUCACGUAUUUUCUACAAAUUUUUAUUUUUAAUUUGUGCAGAAACUAAUUUUAGUACAUGGAGAGAAGACAAUUUCAUUUUUUAUUUUAGUAGUCUUUAUGGAGAAACUCGUCAAAACAGGCACUAGGUCAAGGUUUAAAAUACAAUCUAUGACUGCAAGGCUUUUGGGUGUUUCCCAUUGCUUGGCAACUGUAAUUGUCAACUUACGAACUGCAUUUGUUUGCAACUUUCAGUAAUAGGAAAGAUUGUGACAAAACUGCAAGCAUGAUUGCAACCACAAUCUAAAACCUUGAUCUAAGUUGACUUGUACUCAUUUUUUAAACUUGGAUUCCCUCUUAUGAAUUAUGAUUUAACAUUUUUAUGUUGUGUUGAUUUAAAUUAAUUUUAUAUAAUCUUUAUUAUGGUAGUAUAGUGUUUGUGAUUUUAAAAAUUCCUUUGUGUAAUUUUGCAUUUGUGUCAUAUAUUGUAUCUGUGCUUUCUUGGAGGCUCCCUCGUUCAGGUGUGACCUGUGUGUGUGAAUAGGGUUCAACCUUUACUUCCUCUAAACUUUAAUGUUAAAGGAAAUGUUUGUUAUUGUUUGCUGAGGAGCUAAAAGGCAGGAGAUUGACUGUUGUUUCUGGUGUUGGCAGUUUUAUUCGGUUAUAUGCCGAGUUGCUACUGUGUUGAAGAGCAGAUAUACAGCACCAGGUUUCUGGAAUGCUGGACUGGGACUUUUUGAACUGGCUUAUUUGCUUGUUUCUGAACCUUCUGAGAAGGAACACUUGAAGGCUUGCAUUGCUCAGGCCAGAGAACAUUUACAUCUGGAAGACAACCCAUCACUACAAGCUUCACAAUUUUCAGAUAAUCAAGCACACAGAGGUGAUUUUCUUUCUAACUAGUUAUGUUUUCUUUUUCGUUUUUCGUUAUUUAUAGUUGUUCACGUUUAUCUGUCGUACAUAUCCUCCAGGGGUUUUGAAAUAAUUAACCUUUGUCUUCUUGUGUUUAUCUCAUUUCGCAAUGAUUCAGGAUAUCUUUUUGAGGGGCACCUUACGGUUGAUCCUGAACCACCACAACCUCAAUGGUUGGUGCAGUCAAACCUCUUGUCAACAGCUGCUACACUCUUUGCUGCCGAAUCCUCUCAAGCUUCUGCAGCAAAUGAAACCACCCAAGAGGAUGCAGCAAAUAUGCUUCAAGAUCUUAUAAAUAGAUUGGAAGAAGUUGUGCCGUUGGUAUUUAUUCAAAAUCUAUCACAUGCUUUUUAUAACCAUCAUUUAUCAGACUUUCAAUUUACACUCUUAAAUAUCAACAUGGCUUUGCAUUUCCAGGUUGAGUUUCUAAAGUUGAAUAAGUUUUAAGAAAGAGGUAUAAUGUGGCUUAGUCAUUGAUUGAACCUAAGCAAACCAGGACACUGUAGAAGCAUUAGGACCAUUUUAGGCUCUACUUGGUACUUGAAUUCUUCAGGUUAAAUUUAACAAAAGCAGCUACUUGAAAUUGGUUCAGUGGAGUACUAUUUUCACAAUAUAUUUAGGAAUCAAUGCAAACAGACAGCCUAGGUAUCAAGUCAACUUCUAUUUAAAUCCUUAUACUUACUGUCCCAUGCCGCAGUUGCAUUGGUGGAUCUGUUAUUGAUGUUAAUGCAUCAUUUGAAGGGUGACUUGAUAUAAACAUCUUACUCAGUUAGACUCAUUUUGCUAAUUCUUUGGUCAUAUUUUAGCUCUUUCCAACUACUUGCCUUUUGAUUGAUAUAUAUUUUUUCUAUUAUAAUCAGCCUUUCCAUUGCUACAAUUUGCACUUCUCACUCAAGGAAGAUAUAAAUACUGUAUCUUUUUGUGUUAGAUGGUGGAUGAAGGUACUGUAGCUCCAAGAGCCCCUCCUGCCAGUAAAGAGGUUGUGGCAAAACUUCCAGUCAUUACUCUCACAGAGGAAAUUUUGGCUACUUUGGGGAAAGAUGCAGAGUGUGCCAUUUGCAGGGAGAACUUGGUUUUAAAUGACAAAAUGCAAGAGCUGCCAUGCAAACACACAUUCCACCCACCAUGUCUAAAGCCAUGGCUGGUAUUGUCCCUAACUCCUCUUUUCUAUUGGAAAUUUUAUGUUCUUCUAAAAUCAACUUCGUGCAUUUCAUACUAUCGAAUUCUUUGAAAAUGGCAUGUUUAAAUAUAAAUUGAGUUCAAUUUCAGGAUGAGCACAAUUCUUGUCCCAUCUGUCGGUAUGAGCUGCAAACUGAUGAUCAUGCUUAUGAGAGCUGGAAGGAGCGAGAAAAGGAAGCUGAAGAGGAGAGAAAAGGUGCUGAAAAUGCAAUUCGAGGUGGUGAAUAUAUGUAUGUUUAAAUAAUCACUCAAUGUUAUGUUUAAUGAUAUGGUUGUUCGUGUAACAAUGGAUGUGAAUUUUUCAUUUGGUGAAGUAGUUGUAUUCUUUGUUAUUUCAAGCUAUAGAUAUAUAAAGUUUUCAGGGUUGCUCUAGGGUUUAAGGAUAGUUCAUAAUAUGCUCCCAAUUAACCAUUUAGCUUAGAACUUCUAGUUUUUACUAUAAUGGCAACAGAGUUAGAACUUAACAUUAUUACUUAGACAUAUCACCAGUAAUUGUUUUUACAUGACACGAGUAAUUGUUUUAUUUUUGUAUGCUAAUAACCUUUUGACAAAAUUUGAUCCUCACACCAUUUUUUUAUUUUGCUCUUGUGCAAUAUUCAAUUUAGAUAUUAUAUGAAUAGUACAUUCUUAAUUUGGUUCAUGAGUAAUUUAUUUUUAAUUUAUUCAUUAUACGCAAGGGGCUAAAUUAAAAGAGACAAAAUAAAAAUUAAUUACCCUUACAGAAAUGAAAUUAUUUGUUUAGCUUUUUGUUAAGAAAAUUGGGAAAAUGUGAAGUAGGAACAGUAUUUACUCUUUUUCAAAUACUCGAGCAUUAAGUGCCGUUAACACAGUCAAGCGUUUGUUUAGCUGACUAUACUUAAGAUUUUAAUAGAACUAAUUUUAAAUAGUUGAUGUAAAUAGGAUAUGUUUAAAAUAUUCAUUAUUAUAAAUUUAUAUUAAAAUGUAUAGAGUUUAAAUAAGUGGUAUAGAGUUUAAAUCGUGAUAAAAUAAUUGAGUAUAGAAUAAAUAUAUUGUAUUGAGAUGAAAAUACCUAGUAACUACUUUCGGUAACAAAUAAUUCAUAUCAAUACCAUUAUUAAAACAAAACUUAUGUAUUUAUAAAUAUUUAACCAAUUUAGUGUCUGAUUUUUAAUUGGACCCGUUAAAUUGGUUAAAAAAAUAUCGGUACAUAGCAUAUCACCAAAAACUAUUCUGUAAAAAAAGUUUUUUUUUUUCAAUGAAAAUUUUCUGUAGGUUUUAAUGGAAAUUCCAAUACUUUUUAUUUUUAAAUUAGAACGUAUCAUUUUCCUUCCAAAAAACUUGUGAUUGUAAAGCAAUUUCUUGUUGAAACUUAAACCUAAUUAUUAUGAUAUAUUUAAUUUUCAUAUUUAUUAUAAAUGUUAGAUACUUGCGAAAUGUGCUAUUUUUAGUUUUUAUAUCAGUAAAUUUGAGUUAAUAUUUCUCAAAUGUUCAUCACUGUUUUUAUUUAUUAAUACCAAUUAAACAAUUAAAAUUAAAUCAGUGUAUAAAGAAACUUAACAUAAAACAUUCACAAUGCAACCAUUAUUACCUCAACAAUGAAUAUUUUGUAUCCACUCAUCAGUACUAUAUAAAGUAUCAAGCUUAAAAUAUAUCAAAAUGCCUUAUUAUAGCCCAGCCAAAUUUUAGCUUGGUACUGACAAAACAGAUGAAUCAGAACUUCUCACUAAAUAGCAACCUUUAUUAACUAAAAAGUUCACUCAAAUAUACACCACGGCCUGAGGCUAGGAGACAAAGUUACAAAGCAGCACCCCAAGUGACCAACUUGAGUAUACAAUCAUAUAAAAUUGCUGCUGUGCAAAGCUUUCCCAGGAACCAAAGUGAAGAUACCACCAUAACACACUUCUUGACAUGUAAAGGUUUUCAUGAACAUAACCAACAUGUGGUUGUUAAGUUCAGAAAACUGUGAAACCUUUGAUCCUAAUAACACGGCACCUGUCAACUACCAGGCUUUCUACUCCACCUAUUUCCAUAUCUGGGUGUACUAUGAUUCGAGUCACGGUGCUCUGAGAACCUAUCAUUUCUAGAUGCAAAUCCCAUUGCAUCAUUCCUGCCACCUCCUCUCCUGUCUCUAUGUCUCCUCAUAUGACGACCACCUCUGUGUCCACCAGAUUUCUUUUCCUGCUCAACUUCUUCAUAGGCCAAUGGUUGAAUUCCCUGAAGAUCAGGUUCAGGAACAUAUCCAAAAGGCCUCCUUGACUCAUCCAUUCUUCUAAAUGUGAUUGAUAUCCUAGUGAAAGUUUCAACAAAAACAAUACAGAUCAAUAAUUUGUGAGUUGUUCAAAACUUAAAAGCCAUUCAUAGAAUAUUAUAUUGCUUAAUACCUUCUCGAAGGAACUGCUGGCACACAGUGCUUGGCUACAUCAGCUCCAUUUCCGUUCAAGACAAGUACAGAUCUGGAGAAAAAAGAUUACCUAUAAGAAUCUGAAUCUUCUAUAUUGAAAUAAGAAAACUGAAGAAUUCAAUCUAACUGUAAGAAAUGUAAUAAUAGUUGAAUACUUACCCCAUAGGUAAAGGAAUAGCAAUCGAACCAUCAAAUUCUCCAGGGCCUACAAUCUUUAAGUUUGAUCCAAAAACUAUAUUGCACUCGCUAAGAAAUGAGACAGUGCAAAAUGGUCGAACAAAGUCAUGGUUAUCUAUGUGUGGAGGAAUACAGUCCCCUUCUUCGUAUAUAUUAACAAUGCAACUGUCUGGCACACAAGUAGGAGGUAGUACAUGCCAUUUUAUCAGUCGCCGGAUGAUGACUUUGAAAAGAUCAGGUAUUGGAUCAACCUUUGAAUGCGCAAGAAUACCAGGAGGGUUACCAUCUCUAUCCUGUAACCAAAAAAGUUAGCAUCUUAAAACUUACCUCACUUUUUACUCUGUUUCAAAAUAAAGAAACUUAAGCUCAGGAUAUAGACUAACCACUGCAUAAUUGUAACAGCACCCAAAUUGGAUGGUUUGUCGUCCCUUGCCCCUCAUCCACUUUUGGGGAGCAGAAAACGUCCGCUCUGAACAAGUGAAGAAUUAACAUAAGAAACAACACCACCAAACAUAUUCACUAAAUAGUCAAGGAAAUUGGUGUGAAAAAAGUAAUUUUUGUUUUCAGUAUCUUAAGAUAAGUCAUUAGCAUUCGGAUAUUGACCCCACCACAGGCUCUAAAGUCUGAGCCCCACCAUAUUUAUUCCUAAAUAAGAAGAAUAUUUACAUUAAUUUCAAAAUCAUUUGCCUCCCCAAAUCUUGGGAAGCCCUAAAUUUUGGAAAACAUGAUAAGGCAUCAGAAGGUGAAGUGUGGUAAUAGAAGGGAUAAGCGACCCUGGCUGUUUGAGGCACCGUCUCUUCAUUGAGGCACAUGCAUGCCUUUCUGAAUGAGACAAAGCCACAUCUUAGGACCUUAUUGAUAACUAUUCAAAUCAAAAAAGUUUUAGCCCCCUAAGUUGAUAAUAAUGAUGCUGAGGAUGUAAAUUGAAGGUUCUAAUCUCUUUUAAAGGCUUGAGAAGUUAAUUUGCAUGGUUAAUUUACAAAAACAUGUCAAAUAUUUCAAUAUUUUAAUAUUUUUCAAUAAAAAAUGGUUAAUUUACGAAAAAAACAGUGAAAUAUUUCAAUUUUUAAUAUUUUUCUAAUGUUACAGACUCUAGGGCAGCCAGACUUUUCUCCUUUGACUAAGCUGAUAGAUUAAAUUUUAUUUCUGUUAAAUUACAAGACAAUGUUAACGAAUAUGGUAUAUGUAUAAUGAUUCAAGUCAUUAACUAGCAAUACAAAAAGAAUCAAAUAUGGAUAUUUGACAAAUCAAAAGCAACUAUAGUUAACAGAAUAACUGAUGUGACAGCACAAACAAGUUAUUGACAGUUUGUAUUAUCAGCAACAGUUUGGAAGACACGUAUUAAUAAGUCUACAAUUACGUUGCAGUUAUAGAUCAUCAAAUUCAUAAUAUUACUUUACACUAGCAGCUGUGCAGAAGAACACCGCACAUAAUCUGAUUAAAUUUAUAUUAUAAGUAAAUAUACAAUUCAACCCUCAAAAAUACUUUUCCAAUGAAAGUGUAUUUUUAUACACAUUGGUCCCAACAAGUGCUAAACUUGCUAAGAACAGAAAUCACCCCGUGGAAGUUGUUAUCUUGUUAAUAAGUUCAUACUAUCAGGGAACAAUUAAACUUGCAACGCUAAAGCAACACAUGUAACAGUAAAUGCAAAAUUGGAUAUUACAAUUUUCAUCAAAUUUGAGCAUAAUAAGCCAUGCAGAGUGACAGCAAUUUCUGCUACGUGCUUGAUUUUAUUAAGCAUUCACUCCGAACACAAUUAUAAGUAAAAAAAAAGUAAACUUUAGUAGACUAAACUGUAAAAAAAUUAUAAAUCCUUGCACAGCACUUAAUGAUAUCAUAUAAAAAUUACCCUUCAAUUCUUUUGACACUAAACAACUAUAAGACAACGAAACAGAAGCACAUAACAAGAUCACAAAGAACAUACAAACAUAAACAAAACCAUAAACGGAUGAAAGAAGUCAAGAAUUGAGAUCACAAACCUUUCAAUUCUCCUCUUUUCCCCAUCUCCUGCAAUGAAGCAACAUAACUAACAAUCCGCUUCUGUUCAGCAGCACUGAAAAUACCAGUGUGGAGUUCAAGCCCUUCAAGAAUGUUGACAAGCUUCCCAUUAACCCUCUCAAAGCAGAUAAAGUCCUUCUUGCGCCUCACAUUCAUGAACCUAAUGUACUCCCUCUGCUCCCUGGGCAAAGUCGGCUUCUCAGCCACCACUGUACCCACAUCAGAAGUAUCAUUCGAAUCACCCACAUCAACAGUAACCCCAUUGUUGCUGUUUUCUUCUUCGCCAAACUCAUCGUCCUCUUGGGCCAUGUCGGCCCAACAAAUUCUCUGGCUCGGAGUCUCCACAGAGGUAUUCACCUCCGCCCCGUCUUUCCAACUCCCCAGCGAAUGCGCGUCGCAGUUAUCUUCAGCAUCGAUUUGUUCAUUGGGGCUGUCGUUUUGGGGCACUUCACCUGAAACUAAAGAACCCAGAAAGCGUAAGAAAAAACGGGUGAAACCCAGAUGGAAAAAAACGUGAAUUUUGGAGAAAAGUGAGGGGAUUGCGACCUGGGUCGAUGGACUGAAUACGAUCGGAGAGAGAUUGGGUGCAACGCGUGCAGAGAUCUCGGGAGAGGAAGGGGAGCCACGUGGCGAGAAACUCCGAAGCGGUUCGGAGAUCCGAAGGUGUGUAGUUUAGGAGGAAAGGGUCGCUUUCGGAAGCGUUGAUGCUGUUGGGUUUAGGCUGCCGGUGGUGUUGUUCCUCCAUGGCGAGUGAGUCAACUCGGAAGGUGGAAUCGGAGAAGUAGAAGAAGAAGAAUAAUAACAGAGAAAGCAGUAAAGACCGCACACAAGAAGAUACUCUGUUUCCGCUCUUGCUAGGAUUUCUUGUUUGAUGUUACUGUUUUAUUUUAUUAUUUAUAGAUGUCUAAAGAUAUAUAGUUACAAGAUAUAUAGAUAUAAGAUAUAUAAAUAUAUAGAUAUAAAGAUAUUUUAUUUUCUUUGGUGGCACUAAAAUUGAGUUUGGCUUAACAAACAAGUUUUGAUCUCCAAAAUAUUUUCUUGAUUUUCAAUUCUUGCUUUAUUGAAAAACAAUUAUCUUAAUUUGGGAAUGUAAUUUGUAUAGUUAAGAUUUCUUUUAUAAGAUUUGAGUAAUCGGAGUCAAUAUGUUAAAGAUAUGUAAAACAAAAUUAUUCAAGUGUGAUAAAUGCAAAUUAUGGUAAUAUUUAUAUAUAUAUAUAACAAGAUUAUUUUCAAAAUAUUGUUCAGGGUAUUUUUAAAAGAUAUUUUCGUUAUUUAGUUAUAUUUGAGCUUUAUUUUAAUCUCGGCACAUGUUUUAACUUGAAAUUCAAAUAAUUUCAAUUUUGUAUAGAUUUGAUUGGACAAUUAGACUAAAGUAGUUAUUUCUCAACCAUUUCAGCUUAAUUUCAUUUAAUAUGAUGGUUAUUAUUAUUGCGCGUAUUUUUUUUAAUUAUUUAUUUUUUAUCUUUGUUUUAAAGUUUAAUUUUAAUAAUUAAAAGUUAUCAGUAGUUAAAUAUAAUAUUUAUAAUUUAUUUAUUAUAAUAAUAUAAGUCAUAAGCUUAAAUAUUUUGUGUUAUAAAUUUUAAUUGCAACUAGUAUUUUUAUCAUGGAUUAUCUUUAUUUUGUACCAGGGAAAUUAAAAUUAAAUAAAUACUUCUCAAUGCAUAAAUUGUAACCUAAAAAAAUCAUUCCGUUAUUAAACUCAACAUAAAAUCUUCCCAACAACUAAACUUCGGAUAUAUAUAUAUAUAUAUAUAUAUAUAUAUAUAUAUAUAUAUAUAUAUAUAUAUAUAUGUAUAUAUAUAUAUAUAUAUUUAGGUAUUUUUUUUUUUUUUUUAUAUAAAGAUAUAUUUUAUUUAUAUCUUUAUAUAUAUAUAUAUAUAUAUAUAUAUAUAUAUUUUCNNNNNNNNNNNNNNNNNNNNNNNNNNNNNNNNNNNNNNNNNNNNNNNNNNNNNNNNNNNNNNNNNNNNNNNNNNNNNNNNNNNNNNNNNNNNNNNNNNNNUAUAUAUAUAUAUAUAUAUAUAUAUAUAUAUAUAUAUGUAGUUUGUUUGUCAAAAUAAUAAAAAUAUAACAUGAGAUAACUUGAGAUUUUAUGUGUGUUUGUAGUUUGUUUGUGGGACAGUUAUUUUUGUACUUACAUAACUUGAGAUAACUUGAGAGUCUACAAUGUGUUUUCUCAAUUAUCAAAUACACUCAUAAUACGUCAUCACGUAGAUAAUAAUACGGAAUAAGUUAAUCAAAAUUAACUAAAUAAAAUUCAUAUUUAAUUUAUUCAACUUAACACGAAAGUAAGUUUAGGGCUGUGUGUAGUUUGUUUGUCAAAGUACAUAAUUACACAAUUUAUCAUUUAUAUUAAUCGAAUGUAUACAAAAAUACAUUCAUAUUAUACAUGCAUCCACAUUUUUAAGAUAUUUAUCAAGAAAUAUCUACUAAUACCUAGUUAAUUUUUUUUUAUUUUUCAAGAAAUAUUUAAUACCUAAUCAAUUUUAGCACAUCAAUAAUACAACCUCGACUACAUGGAUCACAUGGAGUUUAAAAUAUAUUGUGAAAAACAAGUCAAAAUACACAAGAAUGAAAGGUUAGCUUGUUUAUUAAAACUUUUUGAAAUUUUUGCAAAGUUGCAUCUCAUCUGAUGGAGUACAAACAACUUUUAAUGUGACAAAUGAUUUACUAAAAAUUUAAUUUUUAAAAUCUCUCAUUCUUUCCUUAGGACAUAUUUAAUAACAUACAAUUUAGUUGAGCAUAAAGAAAAGAAGGACGCGGGACAUUUUUAAAUUGGUUCAUUUGUAAAAAAACAUUCUACAUCCAAUUAUUAAUCAAAUUUCACUAGUCAUACUAACAUUAUAUAAAUACCACAAAGUAUUAUUUGAAACUUAGUCAAUUUUGUCUAAAUAACCUCAAUAUUAUUUCAAUACUCAGUCACUACCUAACAACCCAAACUAUUGUUUAGCUCAAUUACUUUUGGUUGAGCAACUCAGGUAUUAUUUGGAACAACAACUAAUCUUAGUUAAAACUUAAGUAUUUUUCAUAACAUAGUCACUCUUGGCCAAAAUGGUUUUAAAACGAAAUGGCGAUAUAAACAAUCACAGGGUUUUGCUAACUAGACAUAGAGUUGACGUCUUUCAACGAAUAUAAAAUUUAUACAUUUUUCUAUUUUGCUAAUAAACACAAAAGUAUUUUUAUAAAGUUUAGGGCACAAAAAGCUUUGGGUGAGAAUAUUGACAGUCUUUUGACAACUCUUCAUCACUUCUUCUUGUUCUUUAACUUGGAAAAGUGCUUUAUAUAGAGUGUUGAGGAAAGAGACAUUGUAAAUUCUUGUGUGCUUGUUUAGUAGUUUCAACUCAGGUCUUCACAUUUAAGCAUUUGUCUAUUAUAACAAGAACGUAAAGAUGCAUUAAAUGUUGUGCUCCAUGCAACAUUAAAGAUUAUCUCUUCUUUAAGAAACAUCAUGAUAGCUAACAUGACUUAUCAUGCCUAGGUGAUAAAGCUUUCAUCCAAACUGGAGUAAAAAUGCGGCAUAUAGUCUUUUCAAGAUUGACAUAAGGUGUGUUAGGAUGCUUGUUGGCAUACAACAAUUUAAUGCGUUCUUCAAGAGAUAUUUGAUGUAGACAUGAGUUAUAUGGGAUGUUGGUAGACAUGAAGAUGAAAACUUUCUAUGUAACAUAUAACAAAGUUGUAAAGAGUUUGUUGAGAUAUAAUGUUAAUUUAAGAUUCGUGCAUAUUUUCUCAUUAAGCCUUCACUUAUUAGACAAAGCAAGUGACCAUAAUGUGCUAUAUUAUUUUUUAGAUAAAACAUUUGCAUCUCACACGACCUGAUGAAACAUAUUUAUCUUUGUACGUUAUUGUUUAAUACUUAAUCAAAAGCAUCAAUGGUGUGUUGGACUUCAAGAUAUAUCCUUUUCCAGUGUGUUCUGAUACAUGAUAAGUGUCAUAAUUCAAUAGUAUUUCAUAAAAAAAGAUAAGCACUUAUGAACUUGAAUUGAUAAAAUAGUUAUAAUUUAACCUCUAAUUUAGGAAAUUUAACCUUUUUACAUAUUUUUGGAUUAUAAGAUGAAUAUGAACGAUUUAUUAUCAAAUUUGUGUUAAUUUUAGGAAUCUAGGAGAAAAUAGAGGUAAAAGGGCUAAAGGAGAAUGGACAAGUGAAAGACAAAAUGAAAAGACAAAUUUGGAACAUUGAAAAUUUGCACAAACUCACUCAAGCAAGAUCACUACAGAGGAACUCGCCUAAGGCUCGCUUAAGCGAGUUCGCUUUAGUGAAGUUGGGCUUUUUAUAGUAAAACGCGCUUAAGCAAGUAAUAUCUCGCUUAAGCGAGAUGUCACCUAGUUAAGCCCAAUUAGAUUAAGUAGAAAGCAUGAGACAUAACCUUGACAUCAUUGGGAGGAACCAAAGGAAGGAAACCCUAAAGGAGGCAACAGUCAAGGAAAAACGCUAUGGAUCUUUUUUUUCUUGUUGUCCAUGCUUGUAAUAGCCACCAUGAGUAACUAAUUAUUUUCUUUGGGAUUGAGAGUAAUAUGUUUAAACCUUUAUGUAUUGAGGUGAUAUUUAUCUAUAAUAAUCAGUUCUUGAUUGAUGAUUGGUAUUAUCAUUUUAUUUUCAAAGCUUGAAACUAUUAAUGAUUUUGAUCCUUAGAUUUGAGUGGAAAGUACUUCUAAGCAUUUGACCUAAAUGAUAAUACUUAAUAUAUUUAAAUGUCAUGAAUAAAUUUGAAAUGUUAAUUGUUUUAUAACAUUUGUUCCUAAUGAUAAAGAGUUUUUAUAAAUAUGUGAGAUAUCGAUAUUUAGGAGACUUUCUUAAUAAUUUUAUAUGCGAUAAAUCAAUAUGAAUAACUUUUAUAUGUGCCUCAAUGUUAAUCAUGAUGGGAUGUUAUAUGUUUAAAACCACAAACGAGUGAGAAUGAUUAACCAUAUUCCCUAUUUUCUUAAUUGAAAACUUUUACUCAUUGCUUUUAUUUAAUUUUCAUGCAAACUAUUGUCAAUAUUUGAAGUGUCCUUGUGGAUUUGAUAUUCGUUCUUAUGUACAAAUUAUUACUUUUAACUUUGUACACUUGGUGUAAAAAAGACUAAUCAAGUUUUUGUUGUCGUUGUCGGAAAACAACUUUGUUUAAAAUUUGAAAGUAUAAUUUGCAAGUAUUGUGAAUAUUUUUAAAGAUUUUGUUUUUUUAGAUGUGAAUGUUUUUUAAAGUUUGUUUUUGGAUAAUGUAUUUAUUUUAUUUAAUAUUACUGUAUUUAUUAUUUUAUUUUGUUUUUGUUUUGUUAUAUUUAUUUUAUUUUAUUUUAGUUUUUAUUUUUAGUUUACGUAGUUAUUUUUAAUUUAUUUUAGUUAGUUCUUUAUAAUUAUAAGUUUCUAUUUUAUUUUUUUAUUCUUAGUAUUUUGUUUAAUUUUUAAUUUUUUUAUUCUUAGUUUUUAUUUUUAGUAAGUUUUUGUUUUUUGUUAUAUAUUUCUUAUUUUUUUAUUUUUUUUAUUUUGUUUUUAAUUUUAAUUUUAUUUAGUUAAUUAACUUUAAUUAUACACUUCUUGUUUUGUUUUUCUUUUACUUUUUUAAAAAAAAAUUGUUUUAUUUUUUUAUUUUUUCUUUUAUUUAAAUUUUUUAAUUGUUAUUUUUUAUUUAUUUUAUAUGUUAAUCAUUGUUUGAGUUGUCUUAUGAUAUUAAAAGAACAAGUUUAUAGAAAUCAAUUGCAAUUUAAAUUUAGACAUUGAGAAGACAAUUGAGAAAAAUAAAAAUAAAAAAGGAAAGAAAAACAAAUAGAAGUUAGAAAAGAAUCUGAUUAUGUCUAUCCCUCACAUUGAAAUAAUUUAAAAAGAAAGUAACAUGGCUAAGGAAGGACAACAACCACCACCUAGAAGAACACUUUUUAAAUCCUAUGGAGCAAUGGAGUUGGAGGACCCAGUGUGACACAAAAGUUGGGUAGUCAAUGACCAAAGGCUGAAGCCUUAUUUAAGUAGUGAAAUUGAAAGACUCAUCAUAGUGAUUUUGUUGAAAGAGAUAUAAAGAAACUAGCGUAAAGCUAUAUGAGGUUGAAGAGACGCUUAUUGGGAGACAACCCAUUAUUUUAAUUUCUGUGUUUUGUUUUUAUGUGUUUGAGUUGUGUGCUAUGUGGUGAAUGAUGAUAUCCAGAACAGUUAUUAUUUGUCUGGAGGGGCAGAACAACUAUAAAUUAAGAUUUCAACAUAGAGCUGAAUGAGUUGCUAAGAAGAGAUGAUUGAGCACAAAACAUGAUUUUAUCUUUCUAGUGUUUAAUUUGCUCAUUUUUUAAUUGUUUAAUUUGCUUAUAUUUUAAAUUUUAUUUUAUUUAUUAAGAUUGUUUUUAUAGUUUUAUUUUAUUCUUAAAUUUUAUUGUGAAAACUGAAAUAUUAAAAUCUUACACUUUUUUAAUAAUAUUUUGGAAAAUACACUUUGGAUUAUGUAUUCUGACAAAAAAUUCUAAAAUAUUGUUUGAACAUAUAAUUCAAUUUUUAAUAUAUUCUUAAAAAAUAUGAAAAACAUCUUUGCCAUUAUAAAGUAAAGAAGAGGUGAAAAAAGAAAAAAUAUAGAGGUCGAAAAAGUAAAAAACAUAUAUCAGCAACGACAGAAAGAGACCUCAAAAUCGUGGCGAAAUCUUCUACAUAUGUGCAAAAAACUUCAAAUUUCUCUCAGCAACAACUGAAUGACACAAAAUUUAUACGGAUAUUAAUAAUAAUAAUAAUUUUAUAACCUUAUUUUUCACGACACUUUGCAGUUUCGACAGUCAUUUGCUAAUCUAACAAUUAAUGGAAAUGGCUUCCUCAUCCUUCGUCUUAGGUUCAGAUUUGAAAUGCAUACUCUCUUCUAGGAACAGUACUAUGUCUGGGUUUGGUGCACUGAGGCACACACAACCUAAUGGUCUGUUCAGCAAAUUCUUCCACUUUCACACUCUAUCCACGAGAAUGGUGGCAAGGACUUCAAAGAUGGUUUCUAAUGUUUUUGUUGGUGGAGACAAAAGUACCAGAGUCAAUAGCAAGAUGUACACCAAGUUGGACUCUUGUUUGGUGGUACCACCUACCCCUAAUCCUUCCAAGCCUCGAGCUAUAAUCAAAUUCCUGGGUGGUGCCUUCAUUGGUGCUGUUCCUGAGGUUACUUACGGGUAUUUUUUUGUUACCCUUUUGUUUUUUCAAUGCAAAGUUUGAGUCUUUAUCAUUGAUAGCUGAUUUUCUCAUGUGGGUGGUGAUAUUGAUGGUGUGAUGAGUUUUGUUCAUUUAAUUUGCAAUUUGCAGGUACCUAAUAGAGUUUUUGGCAAAGGAGGGUUUUCUUGUGGUGGUGGUGCCUUAUAAUGUGACAUUUGACCAUUCUCAAGCUGCUAAGCAAGUAUAUGAGAGGUUCCAAGCUUGUUUGGGUACUAUCCUGACAUCUGGGUUGCCCCAAGCCAAUCUGUCUCCUGCUCAGCUUAAAGACCUUCCUCUUUUCUCUGUUGGCCAUAGGUUUGUUUAGUGUUUAAUACUACCUCUUUUCCUUUUAUAUGUGCAUUUUUUCUCUUAAUUAUAAGAAACACAUGUUACCCUUUUUUGAGAUGUAUUAAUAGUUAAUUUCUUUUUUACUUUAUUUGUCGUAAAGUUUAUUCAUGAUACACUCUAUCAUUUUCCAUGAGUGAAUGUAUUUGUUGGACUGUUAAUAACACAAGUCAGAUUCAUUUGUGAGAAAAUAAUUUAUUUUAUGAGUAAUGCCACUUUAUAUAGUUACCACUUAAACCAUUUAAUCCUAUGAACAUUUUUAGAAUAAAAUUUAAAAUUAUGUUGUUAAGUAGGAAAAAACAACCUAACUAUUUAUUUUGGUUAGUCGUAGUGAUUAGUUAUUUGUUUGUUAUAUUAUAAUAUUAUACUGGGGCAAGAUCUUCUUACUAUAAUUAAUGUCAAGAAAGUAAUAUAUUUCUGUUUUGUUUUAAAUCUGUAGCAAUGGUGCACUUCUUCAACUACUCACAGGAAGCUUAUAUUCAGAGAAAAUACCUAAGGUUUGGUUAUUAUUCUUACUGCGGCAGCAAAAGAUUGAAUUUGUAUAUUUUAACUAAUAGUAGUAGUGUACUAAUUAAAUUAUUAUAACAUAAUUUUAGUUUAUGGAAGCAUUAUGUUGUGGAUUAUGAAGUUUCAUUUACUUAAAUAUAACUCAUACAAGGAAUGUGACGAAAAUGUCUCUUGUGGAAGGCUAAUGCCAUAAUCUCAUACAACAACAGGCCAGCAACGGAGGCAGUCCCAUACUUUGAACAGGUAUUGGCAGUCAUAAUUGAUGAAAUCUAUUACAUCAAUUUAUCCAUGAGUCUUUAUAGGCUAUUACUUUACUCUAAUGUCUGUUUAUUCAUUCUUGCGGUUAUUUUUUUCUAAAAGCUGUGUUAAGUGUUUACCUUCCCUCCAGAACUUUUUUUAUGAAAUUUAGAACUAAGUUUGAUUGAGGAUGCCCAAUUUUUGAAGAACUUUUGUUAUACACUGCUUGCUCGACAUAUGACUUUAAAUAAGAAUAAGUUCUUUUUGAGAAAUAUUCAUUGUCUAGACAGGAUUCCUUGAUAUUUUUGUAUUUCACCUGGAGGAUUUGUACCAAAUGAUCAAGGUUGUGAUGAAAACAUAAAUACUGGUUAUAAAUAUGUUUGAAAGUGGAAACACACCUGAACCAGCUUUAAUAUUUCUUGUUCUGUUUCUGUGCAUUCAUCAUAACUGCAAAAGAAUUCUAUAAAUCUGUCCAAUUAGAUGGAAAGCAAAUGAGCUUAGGAAUACUUCCGUUUCCUUUUCUGAUCCCAUUUAAAUAACUGGCUAGUAAGCUAAAUAAAUGUAACAUUUAUACAUGUUGACAUAAGAAUUAUUGGCAUACCAUAAACUAACUGGCAUUCACAGAUAAAUUUAAUCUGUCUAGAACAGAAAUGAAGAUGCUCAUGGAGGUGAUUGUUUCUGUCUUUAUUCAUAUAAUCCAUUAUGGCAUCAUAACCACUGAGAUCAACAUGGUUCAUGAAAUAAUUUCGUAUGUCCUUACAGAGAUAAUAUGUUCUUCAAAGGGGAUAAUAUUAUUCAUAUUCGAUCUGAACUUCAGCUGAUAGAGCAUUUUUGUAAGUUGUUCAUCUCCAUUGUGCUCUAAAACUUUGCAGUGCUGCCCUGCAGUUGGGUCCUGCAGUCAGCCAAAUGAUGCCAGUUAUGGAGGCAGCUCCUUUUUAUUCAAUAGCUAGAAAUGCAUCAGGUAUCUCCUCAGCUUGCUUCUGAUGAUUUUUCUUUUGCAUCAGCGUUUUGUAAUGCUCUAGAUAUCUCACUCUUCCAACUAUCCAAAAAUGGCAGCAUUGCCAUCAUUACCUUCUUUGUUAUAUGUUACUGUCUAAGAUCCUACAUAUUCAUUAUUUUACCAGUUACUAGAGACAAGGUGAUCGCGACCGACCUCAGUGGUGCAACAGUAGAGUUGUGCCUUGGUGACUGGUUGAACAUAGGCUCGAAUCUAUAAAAUAACCUUAUACAUUUCUUAGAAUUUUAGAUUUAGGACUUCACUCAUUCCUAUAAAACCUUUGUAAGGUGAUAACUGCCUAAACAUAUAAACCUUAGUUAAGCCAUAUGUAUUCUCAAUGAUGUGAAACUACAUCACCAGCUUGAGGCUGCAAUUAAGACAAUCUCCAAAGAAAUCACAACUGAAUUGGGUUAGUGGUGACCUUAAAUAAGGUGACUUUUCCCAAAAUCUCUUCACACCUAGGACUGAAAGUCAAUGGUAAGGAUUGCCCAAACUUUAUAAAGUUUGUUUAAACCAUAUUUCCAGUUGAUGUGAAAAUAAACUACCGUCCUCUAGACUAGAAUUGAGUCCCUAAAGACUUUGUAACUAAGGUAGGGAUGAGUGCAAUAGAAGAAGCUUUUCCAACAAUAUGCAUGGGGAUUGUUGUGUUGAGAUAUGUACUAGACGAGGACCAUCUAAUAUGUGUUACACGACAUGUGUUACAUGACCACCGUCUAACAAGUGUUACACGACAUGUGUUAGACGGUCACCGUCUAGUGUCUAGUGCAUAGUAGAAGACGAGGCCAGUCUAACAUGUGUUAGACGAGGACUGUUUAAUGUAUAGAAGACAAGAUUGUCUAACAGUAGUAGACGAGGACCAUCUAAUACAAACUAGAUGAGGACCGUCUAGCAUAUAUUAGAUGAGGAUAGUCUAGUGUGUAUAAAGUUUCAAAUAAUAAAGUCUUCCAGUUUUUUUUCUUACCUGGUCCAUGACUUCUUCCUUCAUCUUCUCUGGUCGCAUUUUCUUCAUCUCCAUGCUCUUGAUGGAGCUCUUCAACUUGCAUGAGUGUAGAAGUGUUCGAAAGACUUCUCCCUGCAACUUUACCUUUUUGCUUUUUCAGAUUUGCUGCGUUUUGUGAUUUUAUCCUUCAACCUUUUUACUCUUUUGCGCUUCUUUAAUGGGCUGCCAUCUUCUAGGUUAAGGCCUACUCUGCUUCUACUGCGGCUGUUUUCCUUGUUCUUUAUUCUUUCUUGAUAAUAUUUUCAAAGAUCAAUGGAGUCAUCUUUAUUAGAUACAAUUUGUACAUUUGAUCAAUGCCUAAUAUUUUCAAAGGGAGACCAUUUUCGGAUUUCAUAUUUGCUUCAAGAGGUUCAUUCUAUUAAGGAGCAAGAAAGAAAUGUAACUCAAUUUUUUACUGAUCUGAAAAUUCUUUGGGAGGAACUUGAAUGUCUAAGACCUAUACCUAGCUGUGUUUGUAACACUCUUUGCAGUUGUGCUUUGUUUAAAUUUUUUUUUCAAUACAGAGGAUUUGAGUAUGUUAUGUGUUUUCUAAAAGGUCUUGGUGAGAUCUAUAACACUGUUAAAACACGAAUUCCAUUUAUUGAGCCUUUUCCUAACAUAAAAAGAGUUUUUUCUUUGGAGAUUCACAAGAAAGGCAGCUGGAAACAACAAGAACAAGGUUCUUGAAAACCUCAGCUAGAAUCAGAAGACCUUUAACGACUUUGAUUGGGCAUCUUACCUAAACACAACACAUGCGCGAGUGUAGAAGUAUUUGAGAGACUCCUCUCUGUAGCUUUACCUUUUUGCUUUCUAAUAUUUGCUGUGUUUUAGGUUUUAUCCUUCAACCUUUUACUUUUUUGCCCUUCUAAAGGUUGUUUAGAAUGAUCCUCCCCCACACCUUUGCGUUGCAAGAGCCUUAUGAAACUGUGGUGCAUUAGUUUUUAGUUGAGGUGAGGUGAUUGAAUAACUAGAGAAUUUAGAAAGUUAGAUAUGAUAUGGCAAUUUUUUUCUAAAUCAAAGGAUUUGGUCUAAAACCCAAGAUUGUUGUUGAUCGUCUAAUAAUAUAAUUCUGCUGUUAUACAAUCAGUAAUUGUUGCCUUACCACCUCAACACUCAGUUGGAUUCUUUGGUAAGUUUAACAUUAACCAUGUUAAUUUUUUGUAUCUACGAUGAUAAUGCAUGUCAUCUGCAAUCUAUGUAGGAGAUGCAUUGAAGGUAAUGUUGGAUGCUGUUAGAUCAACUCUACAAGAAUCUGAGCAGGAAAUACUGAAUUCCUUAACUAAAUUUGUUGAUCAGUUGCCAUCAGUAAUGAAUGAGGUACUUGUUAACUGUUGAUUGAGGAUUAUUUUAUGCUAUUUAUUUCACUUAGGCACAUGUGUUAAUGGGAACACCUUGCAGGUGAAGUUUUGUUGUUCAUUCCCAUGCCUCCUGUUUUUGUUUAUGCACCAACCACAUCCUGCAUAACUUUUUCCUAGUUAAUUUUUCAUGUAUUGGUGGAUGCAUGUAUAAUUUCUAAGCCAAUGGGUAAAUAAAUAUGGAUGAACUUUGUGAUCAUUGACUUUUAGUGACUACUAAUAAUGAUGGACAAGUAUGAAGCCAACCUUAGAAUGGUUGAAUAUCUGUCUUUCAAUGUAAAUUUGAUUAUGAUGCUUAAAAGUUAAUUUACGUAUUAAUGAGUGCGAUGUGUCUGCAUGUUUCUUGAUGCUUAUAUAGGUUUCGCAAGGAGUAUCAGAGUUCAAGCCAACACCAUCUGAAAACCGUGAUUGCUUUAAAUGUUCAUACAACGUUGAGCACACAUUAUUGGUUUGUCUAAUGCUCUAUGCCUUAGAACUUGUUCUUCAACUCAUAACUCAUUCUUGAAAGAUGGUGUGGCAUUGGUAAGAUUUGUCUUAUAUUGUUUUUCUGCCACUCUAGGUGAAGUUCAAUUUUGACGCAAUUGACGAGACAGAUAUUCUUGAAGAAACAAUUAAGCCUCGUGUGGAGUCAUUGGGAGGGACAUUAGAGAAAGUAACAUUAAGUGGUAACCACAUCACACCAUGCAUUCAGGUCAAAUUUCCUUGCAUCCUCCUUUUGUACCAAACUUAUGUUCAUCACAGUAAAGUUUUCCUUAUUGUUGGAAUUUACUUUCUUGAAUUAUUAAGAAGUGAACUUUAAGCCUAUCUUAACCUUAUAAAAUCGACUUAUAAAGUGAGAUUUAUGUAUUAUGAAGUAUCAUUAUCUCUAGUCGACGUAGGAUUUUCAAUGAAGUACCUUCGUUCACAUGCAAAUUGCUUUAUAUGAAAUACAGUUUAAGCAUUCUAAAAUCCAUGGAGGAAUAGCAGAUUACAAACACUUUCAAGAGAGAAAAAUAAGAAGAAAAAAUGAAAUGAAAAUUUUCACCAGCUAAUAAGAUAAUUUGUCUAAAUUUUGUGGUGGCCAUUUUUGAUUUGGAGAUCAGGGAGCGAGGUGGGAAGUGGGUAAAUUGUAUACUCCUGCAGAUGCUGUUGCUCAAAGGCUUACAUCUCUUUCUUUGAAUGAUACAAAGAUCCUUGCAAGAACUAUCAGCGACUGGUUCAGACGAUAUGAGACUUGAAGUGAAAGGGAACACUUCCCAUUCCACAAUGCAAUAUAAUUGAACCCAAAGGUGAUAAUUGAAAAACCCAUGUAUUGUAUAUAACUUGUAGUUUAAGAUAAAUAUUGGUAGCUUAUAUAAUUUAUUGGAUUAUGCUUAUGUCCUUAUCUUUUUUUUAGAAUUUAGAUGUAUUUAGGGCUAAUUCUCCCUGCACCACAACAAUUUUGAUCUGCACCCAUCAUUUUUUUAAAUCCCAAAUUGCCCUUGUCAUCUUUUCUGGAUUUUUGCAUCCAGAAUGAAAAAAAGCUUCCGGAUUUUAGCAUCUGGAAGACAUUAUUGUGCUGCGGAUUGUCAUUCCCGAAGGCACAUCUCAGUUCUGGAUUUGUAUAUUCAGAACUGUCUUAUUUGCGUUGCGGAUAUAAAUAUCCGAAAAAUAAAGAUAAAACAAAACAUUUUCUUUGCAGGUUGGGUGUAGGUCAUUGAUAUGGUGCAGUGCGAAUUAGCCGUAUUUAGAGUCUAAGUUAAAAAAAAAAUCAUAGUAUAUUUGUACUUUUCAAAGUUUUCUAAUUAUAACUGUAGUUAGGAUAUGUUUUGAGAAACAUUUCCUAAAGAUUUUUUGGAAAAGAAAAAAAAAGUUAUAUCAGUUUUUCUUUUGUAAUCUCAGUAUUAUUAUGAAUUAGUUAUUGUCGGACUCAAUAAGUAACUAUUUCGGACUUGAGCACAUAUAUAAUGUGGAUACUUUUUUUACGUGGUUUGUUUUAUAUGUAUAAUGAAAUUAUUAAAAUUCAAAUUGUGAAUCAUUUGCUUGAAAAUAUAGAGUUUGUUAAUUUUAAUUUGUGGAUAAGUUAAUUUUAAUUUAUAAAUAAAUGAAAUUAAAAAAAAAAUUCUUUUUUUUUUCUUUUGAAAGUUUUUAUGGAGAAGAUUGUCAAAACGUAGUCUAAUUAUAUUUUAAUUUUUGAUAGUAGUAAUGUUAAGAUUAUAGUAUAGUGGUUAAUUUAGAUCAAGUCAUAGGGUUUGACCUACUGGAUAAGGAUAAGAACAAUCCAUAAAAAAAGACAAUUUCUUCCUACAUCAUAUCAAUUCUAACUUGAACCAUCUCAUUUUUCUAAUUUCCAAAAUUAUCCUUAUUAUGGAUUUAAAAAUCCAGAAUAAUAAAUAUAAUUCAAAAAUAAAAAAAAUACAUUAUGGAUAAAGAUAUUUGGAAUUCAAAAAAUGUGUUCCGAAUAUCUAAAUCAGGAAUAUUUCUGGAUAAAAGUUCUUGAAGUAAUUUCACUCUUCUUUUAUUUAAGGUUAUUUUCGUCAUUUUAAAGGGAUAUUUAUGUCAUUUUAAAUAACAGGUUGGGUGCAUGGAAUUGAUAUGGUGUAAGGAGCAUUUGCCAUAUAAAAAAUACCCACAUGAUCUAAAAGCCCACAAAAACCUUAUGUGCAAGGGUUAACUCAUGGGCUGAUAUUGUUUUAAAGAAAAACAUUUAUUCAAAAAUGAAAUCCAAUAAACAAUUACUAAAAAAAAACCUUUGAAAAUAAUUAUUUUGCUCCAACUUCAUAAUAUAAUAUAAUUUAAAUUAUUAAUAUUAGAAUCAAUACAUUAAUAAUUAGAAGUCUCACACUUACAACGAAGAAAAACCUGUAUUUUUACAAGUAAGAAAAACAAAACCACAAACUCAUGCAUUCAUAUUAUCUUUGCAGUUUAAAGAUUACUUUUUUCAAGAUUACUUUUUGACACAUUCUUUAUUUUUGCUUCUGUUAGCAAAUACCUCUCACAUUUAUGAGUAUCAAUAGGUGUUUUUACUCUAAAAAUAUGACUACCACCCACCUUACUAACCAACAGUAUAUAAAAUAAUUUUACUCUAAAAAAUCUAUAAAAAAUUAAUAAAUCUUAUUUUAAAAAUGAAUCUUUAGUUUUAUAGUUGGGUAAACAAACUUUAAUUACGAGUCUAACUUAUUUUGCAUAAGAGCUUUAGUAGUUGACUAUUAGAAACUAUUCAUUCACUCCAUUAAGAAAAAAAAAAGGUUUAUGAAUGGUUUGGAAUUAAUACAUGUAUUAAUGCUACAUUUAAGGCAUGUACUUACAACUAUAUUUUGAAAUAAUUAUGCUAUAGCAGGAAGGUACCAGCAAUAAUAUAAUAUACUGUAGUUAAAAAAAAUUAAGUUACUAAAUUAGAAAUUUCAAAGUUAUAACCAAACAAAUAUUGUAUUACAAUCAAUACAAUAUAUUUCAAUAAUGUAAUUAUUGAAACUUUGGAAAGUUAUAUGUAUAAACAUUUGUUUUUUAAAGUAACACAGUGAUUGGGUUGAAAAUUUAGCUUUUAAGAGUAUUCAGAAGAUACGUUGGAAUUUAAUACGCUGCCAAGAAUGAGUGAUUAGGCUCUAAAUAACACAAAUAUAAAAAAAGUGUAUAAAUUGAAUAACAUCAUUUUAAACUAUUAAAAUAUAUUGUAUUGACAAUUAAAUAAAACUAAAGGUUUGAAUUAUAUUUAUUCUUUCAGUAGAACUUGUCUGCUUUAGUUUUGUUUAGAAAAUAAAGCAAAAUAAAUGAAACCAAAUUUAUAAGUUGCAAAUUUGAAGUAUUCAUGAAAGGAUUAACCAUAAUGUUUUUCAUUUUUCAAGACAAUGUUCAAGAACUCACUAAUUUUGCAUCAAAAUCAAAUAAGUUAGUGAAUUGUUUUUCAGUCAAACUGAGAACUAAGAUUAAACAUAUAAAGAUGCAUUUUUAUAUUGUAAUAAAUAUAAGAAAAUAAAAGAAUAAUGUUAUUUUUUAAAGAUGAUGUGAUUGAUGUUUAAAAAAUGUUCACUUUUAUACAAUUAAAAAUUUAGUCAUAGGUAACUUUCAAGGUAUCUUCAGUCUUUUUUUUUUUUAUUCUUGAUCUUUUGAUUUGUAUGAGAUUGAUUCAGUAAUGUUUGUUAAGUGGUUGAUUAGGCUUUUUGUUGUGGUCUAGGUAUUGUUUGUUGUUGGUAAAGUGUUAAAGUGUUCUAGGGGGAGGAUUAGAAGUUAUUUUUCAAUUUGUAUAAAGGAUGGAUCAUCCUGAAGUGGUUUAUAUUAUUUUAUUCUUUCUUGUUAAUAAAAAAAAAAUUAGUAAAUAACAAACUAAACAUUUUCAUAUUCUCUUUUUUAUAAAUUGUUCAAAUCUGUGCACUCAAAAUUGAGGUUAGAUUUCACAAGGGUUCAUAAAUACCAACCUAAAAUUAUUAGAAAUUAAAAUUCAACAAAAAUGCUUGUGUUUGAUUCUCUUUUAUUCUUUAGAUAAAAAUUGAUUGGUUUAAUUUUCUUAUUUAAAAAAAUAAACACACUAAACUAAACCAAAUUUAUAUAAUUAUGACUUUACUUCGUUUAUUUUGCAGUAAAUGUUUCCACUCCUUUUUACUAAACAUUCUAGGUUAAUAUAUUAAUUAGUAGUGUAUAUAUUAAUAAUGUUCAAUUAAGAUAUAUAGGCAAUUCUCUUUUGUAAAUUGUAAUAUGUAAUAAAAGAAUGUAAACAAAGUUAAAGCUAACAAAAUAAAAACUAAUUAAAUCAAUUUAAUGAAAUAUAUAAAAAUUAGCUUUCUUCUAAAUUUAUUAUUUUUUUAACUAACCAUAUUAUUGAUAUAAAGUAUUAUUAACUUUUAUCAAUGAUUUCGUUAUAACUUUUCAUUUGUUAUUUCUUUCAUUAACAAAAUUCAAACUCAGAAAUUUACUUAAUAAGUUGAGUUUAGCAUUACUCAAACCAACAACAGAGUUAUAACUUAACUAUAAUGAGGGUUGAAUUGAAAGCGGUGAAGUAACAAAAAUAUAAAUCCAAAAGCUAACCUAAUUAGUUUACUCUGCCAUAACUGUUUAAAGAGUCCAUCAGUCAGACCAUUGACUUGAUUAGCGAGACACACGUAAGCUGACUUAACUGAGAGUUCCCCUAUAGUAUCCCCUCCCCAAAGUUGGAGGUCUGAUUCCUCCCUAUUCAAAACUCCCUUAGAGAUGAACCUUGACAUUUCUUCUUCUUGUACAGAUUCCCAGUCAAACCUGACCCUCCCCCACCUCAACCUCCAGUACCAAACUAUGUCUUCCCACACACCUACCUCGCCCAUCAUCAUCCCCUAGUCUAAUGAUAUGGAAUACAACCUAGGGUACAAAUUAGCAAGUUUACUGUCGCCAAUCCAAACAUCAUCCCAGAAUCUUGCUCUGUCCCCAGAUCCAACUUUCCAAACUAAUGUUUUUUGGAAUCAUCCUUGGUCUUCUCCGUCGCCACAUACUUUACUUAAGUCUCUCCACCACCAAUAUUGGAAUUUCACAUUGGUCUGGCUUCGCCCUGAUUCCAAGUCGUAUUUUAAUGCAAGAAUAUCUUUCCACUUUCCUUGUUCUUUGCUCACCAACCGCCAUUUCCAUUUUGCUAACAGAGCACUGUUAAACAUUCUGGUAUCUCUAAUCCCCAGCCCUCCUUCCUCUAGAGGUUUGCAUACAUUCUCCCAAUUGACCCAGGCUAUUAAUGUAUGAUCUCUUUCCCAUGCCCAAAGGAACCUCCUCUGGAUACUGAUUAUUCUAUUACACAUCGAUGUCGGAGCUUUAUAGAAGGAUAAAUAAAAUAGGGAUAAGGCAGAAAAUACCAACUUAAUAAAGAAAAUUCUUCCUGCCUAACACUUAUCUCAUUCAAAAUUGACUCCCAAAACUGCUUUUUCCAUGGGUUACCUCCUACUUCAAACCCCAGGUAAAUGAAAGGUAUCCUCAUGAGAGUAUAAUUUAAAGAUUUUGCAUUUCAUUUAAGGGAAUUCCUCUCAACAUUUGAUUUGUGGAAGUUAAUUUUCAAAACCAGAGACCAACUCAAAACACCUUAAUAUAACUUUAAUUGCAAUGAAAUUGGAGAAGGAGUCUUCACACAUGACUAAAGUAUCAUCCGCAAAUUGUAACAUGCAAGAUUCAAUCUCACUCCUUCCCACCUUCACACCUUUAAGUAGAUUCUCCUUAAAGCGCUUGUCUAAGUAGCCCGCCCAAGCCUUCAGCUACAACAAGAAAGAGGAGCGAAGCUAAUGGAUCUCCCUACCUCAACCCUCUAGAUGGAUAAAAUUCUGUCGUGGGGCUUCCAUUCAGCAGAACUGAUACCGUUGCAGACUUCAAGCAGCCUUUGACCCACUUGAUCCAUUUAUAGUGAAAGCCCAGUCUGUGUAGCAUAUCAUAUAAGAAAUUCCACCUUAUUGAAUCAUACGCCUUUUCAUAGUCCACCUUCAAACACAAUCCACUCCUCUAGUACCUCCUUAUCUCCUCAACCACCUAAUUGGCCACUAAGACGCGCUAUCAAACAUUCAUCUAACCAACUGGAUGUCAUCAAUAACCAUAGAGAGUACAUUCUUAAGGUUUAUAUUGAUCGAGAUUUAUGGGAUCUCUUACUUUAGGUACUAAGGUUAUAAAAGAGACAUUACAACCCUUCGAAAAGCAACCUGUUUCCUGAAAACAAAGCACAACUUCCACAAUGUUGUGCUUAAGAGUAUCCCAGUUAUACUUGAUGAAGUUAAAAUAAACUCAUCUGGUCAUGAGUUCUUUGAACCUUCACACGGCCAAACCUCUUCCUUUACUUCUUCCUCUAUAACAUUAUAGAUCAUACUUAAAAUAGCCUACUAAGGUAAAGUUAGUGAAUUGUUUUUCAGUGAAACUGAAAAGUACGGUUGAACAUAUAAAUAUGCACUCCGAUGUUGUUUUGGUUGAAACUCCAGUCACUGAUCAAUUAGUAUAUAUAUAGACAAACUAAACAUUUUCAUUUUUUUUAAUAAAUUGUUCAAACCUUAUGGUAAAAACUGAGGUUAGAUUUUAGUGUUGAGAGUUGAAUCACACCAACCUAAAGUAUUAUUAUAAAUUAAAAUUCAACAAAAAUGCAUGUAUUUUCUUUUAUUCUUUAGAUCAAACUUAUUGGUUUAAUUAAAAAAAAAUCAAACACACUAAAUUUAACCAAAUUUAUAUAAUUAUGACUUUACUUAAUUUAUUUUACAAGCUUGUAAAUGUUUCCACUCCUUUCUACUAAACAUUCUAGGGUACUAUAUUAAUUAGUUGUUUCUAUAUUAAUAGUAAUGUUCCAGUAAGAUAUAUAGGCAAUUUUGUAUUGUAACGUAAUAAAAGAAUAAACACAGUUAAAGUUAAAAAAAAAACUAAUUAAAUAAAUUUAAUGAAAUAUAUAAAAAAUAUUUUUCUUCUGAAUUUAUUAUAUUUUUAACUAACCAUAUUAUAGAUAUAAAGAAUUAUUAACAUUUAUCAAUGACUAAUUUUUGUUAUAAAUUUUUACUAACUAUUUUUGGUAUGGUCGUUCAUCCCAAUGGUUAUUUGUUUCAUUAAUAAAAUUCAAACUCAAAAUUUACUUUGAAUUUAGUAUUACUCAAUCCAACAACACUUAACUAUAAUUAACGGUUGAAUUGAAAGUGGUGAAGUAAUAAGAGGAUAAAUCCAAGCUAACCUAAUGGAUUAAAUUGAAAAUAAAAUAAAAUUUAGUUAAACUUGAAUAAAUUACAUUUUAAACUUAAAUUUAUUAAUUUAAUGGAUGAUUAAUUUCAUUUGAAAACUUGAGCUUGAAAUAACUGAGCCUAGAGAAGACUCAUAGGUCUUCACAAUUAAUAGAAUGGGACCAAAACAAGUCUUAGUCAUGUAAGCAUUGAGUAUUUAAUUCAAUCUUUGGAUAUUUGCAACCUUCUUAUAUGGUCCAGCCUAUUCUGCCAUUGUUGGAUGGUUACAAAGCUUUACUUCCCAUGCAACAUCUAAUAUAGAAGAGUAGAAAUCAUUGCUUGCAAUAUAACUUAAUUCAAAUGUUAUAAGCAUCAACUCUUAUCUUUAAAACAAAACAUGGAAUGUGUAAAACAAUUUCAAUCACUCUUGCAUGCCAAACUUUUAUCAACACUCUUAUGUUCUACUUAGUGCCCACCGCCAAAUUCAACAUCACCGCCACCGCCACCACCAAAGCCACCACCAACUCCAAAGCCACCGUCGCCACCAAAUCCGCCACCUCCACCUACACUCCUCCAAUUCCGCCUCCAAUUUUGCAUGUAUGAGUUUGUUGAGAGACACUUUUGGAGUGAUGACCGCUAUCUUUUACUUGCCUCUCUCAAAGGUAGCAAUUCUGAACAAAAUUGGGACCCUUUAGAGAUAAGGAAAGUUGGUAGUGAUAAUGACAUAUUAAAACAAUUAAAUAAUAAUGGUCCCCUCAAAAUUAGCUUUUAUAAGAGAAAGGGACCUCAUGAGUGACAUUAUUGUAGUUCUUAAAUGACAAGUGUGUUAUCAAUUUUAUUAUUUCAUAGUAAAUGUAAAGAGUUUUGAGUACUUAUCCAUCACAUUUUAUGUAUUUUUAAUCUUUAAAUAAUUUACAUAUGUAUUUAUUAUGUAGGUGGAAAAUAAAAAAGUAAAAAAGAAAAUUCUAUAUUUAUUUUUAUUAUAAUAAAGUUUUUUUAUUAUAUUUCUUGUUACUGGCUAAACGAAAAAGAUAAUAAAAACAUGAGGGAGUAACUUAUUAAGUUCUUUUAUCUCUAAGAUACGACUUUAGGAAUUAUAAAUUGAAUUAAACUUAAUUAUAGUGAACAUUAAUUAAGAGUGUUUAAUUGAUGGGAAUCUUAAAGAAUCAAAAUUUGUAAUUUAUUGUGAGUAGGGUGCAUGAAGGAGAAAGAAAAUAAGUCAACCGAUAUGACCAUAAAUACUGUGAUUCAAUCAAGUAGAAGUCUGCAAAGUCUUUGAAGAUGGACAGAAAGAUGCAGUGUAAAUAAAUGUUGCAAGUCAAGGUUUUUUUAUUAUAAUUAUUUCUCUAUUUUCUGUGUAAAAGGAAAUUGGUGUCUUUCUGAUUAAGAUUUUGAUUAGUUUAUUUUAAUUUAUUAUUAACUAUCUCUUCAAAGGUGUGAUGUGAUAGUGAAAAAAUAAAGACAAUAAAGAAGUUUAGAAAAAGUAUAGAGAAUUAAUAAAUAUAAAGAAAUGAAAUUUUAUAAGAAAAAUAAAGUUUUUUAAAUUUAUUUAUAAUAUUUAAAAAAAUUCAUUUUAUUCCACGUAAUUCUAUUAACUUAAAUAAUUUGGUUGUUACACAUAAUAUUUUUUUAUAAUUUAGGUUUCGUGUAUGUUCAUAUAAGUUUAAAAAACUUAAGCUUUCAUUGUAACAUUUUUGUAUAGCAUCAAAUAAUAAAAAACAUAUCAUAUAAAUCAUUUAUUAGAUAUAGAAAAAAAUAGAUAAAAAUUUUAUUUUUUUAUAAUAUCACUUAUACUUCUUACUAUAUGAUAUUUAUAGGCUAAAAUAUAAUUUUGAUCUUUCUAUUUGUUUCAAUUCAUAAUUUUGAUCACUCUACUUUAAAAUAUAGAUAUUUGGUUUUCAUUUUUUUUAAAAUUAUUGAUCUUACUUUGAUUAUGCAAAUUAAGACUUUGAUAUGUAGGUCAUGUUUCAAUAAAUUUAUGCAUAAGAAUUUAAGUAAACAAAAAUUAAAGUUAGUUUCUCACGAGAUAAAAUUAGUUUAUAUUAAAUUUAAUUUGUAGCAGUUCUUUUAUAAAAAAAAAUCAUUUUAAUUUAUGUAUAAAUUAAUAUUUUAGUUUAUGAUUUUUUUUGGUAUGUUUUCCUAUAUUAGAAAUCUUGAUGGCGAAAUUAGUCUAUUACUCAAGUAUUAAUAUUAAAACAUUAUAAUGUUAACUUACACGUCACAUAUUAAUAUGAUAAUAACGGAAACAUGAAAAUAUACGCAAUUUUUUUCAUGACUCGAAAACUUCUUAUAAUUACGAAUAAAACGUUAUUUGUGUAUGUACUUUUGGUAAACUUUUUGUUUAUCCUAUUAAAAAAAGUAACAAACAAUAUUUUAAUCGAGACAGUUAGAAUAAAAUCAUUAUUUUAAAAUAUUGAAGAACUGAAUAUUUUAGAACAAGAAAAUGGAGAAAAUUGUAUAUUAGUUUUUUUUCUGUGUAUUUUAAAAUGAAUUUGUUGUAUUUAAUUUGUGUACGAAUAUUUCAUGUUGGAAUUUUUGCAGUGCUCAGAAGCUGAAUUAUCGGAAAGUACACUUCCAAAUCUUCUCUCAGGUGUCUGCAGAAAUAGUAUGUUUUCUAGGAUUAUUGCACACAAUUAUGGUUCAAGUAAUCCGUCACAAAAGAUGAAGUUUUGAAUAGCCGUUACGGUUUCUGUCAUAUUUUCAACCAUGAAAAUAGAAAAUAUUUAGUCACAACACAACAAACAAAUGAGAAAUAAAACAUGAAAAUAGUGAAAUGAGAAAACAUAUAAACAAAUUUAUACAUACGGUUUUUCUUCAAGAAUUUAAGCCUUAAAUUUACUUUUAUUUUUUUAUUUUUUUUCUAUUUGAAUGGAGAUUUCAUUCAAUAUUAUGCUAAUUAAGUUAAAACUUGUAGUGACAGUUAAUUUUAAUUGGUUAAUUACUAUAAUAAGUUGUUAAUGUUCAUAAUUACUAUAAUCAAUUGUUAAUGAAAAAGAGAGCACUACAAAUUUAAAUAAACUAUAUAAUGUAAGACUUGGGAAGGAAUCAUCUUAUAUCAUAAUCAUAAACCUUCCUUUACAAUAGAAACAUGCAUUCAUCCUAUAUUGAAUUUCUCAUACCAAUCAAAUUAAAAAAAUGGUUACAAAAAUUAUGAACAAAUUUCAUUGAUUUUGUUGUUUGAGAAUGCAAUUUAUUUAUUUUGUUGUUGAAUGAUUUUGGUAAGGGAAAGGGUAUUUAGCAAAGAUAGAGGCAAAGUUUGUAUUGUAGCGUUGAAGACAUGACUCGGUGUGUGACUGAGUGAGACCAAUGAGCUGAAGAAAUCCAUUUAAAGUGGGUGGUAAUAAAAUGGUAACAAGCGUAGUUUGCCAAAAUAGGGGAAAAUCCAAAACAACAUAAAAGCUCUAUGUUGUCCCCAUCUCUUUAUAAUAAUACUCGAGGCCUUGAAGAAGAUUUAAAACUUUUUUGCUUCACUAUCUUCCUGUAUAUUAUGACUUGGUAUCUAUUAUAGGAGAAAAACCAUGAUUCCACCAACUUUUCCUCUCCCUUCUCCCUUCUAUUCACACCCAUGUUCAUACAAAACCCCAUAGAAAUGAGAGGUAGAGAUAGUCUCUAAAGCAAAAAAAAAAAGUUCAUAGAAAUUCAACAAGACCCUCCUCCUCCUCCAUCUCCUCCUUCUUAACUCUUAUUUGCUUACAAUCAUAAGAAAAAAUUGGACACCUUAAAACCAAUACACUCCACCAUUAACAACAAAGCCUCAAGUUGUGUUGAUGUUGAUGUUGAUGGCCAUGUUUCCCCAAAUCAAAAUCUAAGACAACAACAUGGCCAACAACGACUCAGGAGACAAGUUAGAAGAAGGCUUACUAACAUGCCUUAUCAAGAAAAGCUAAUGAAUAUAGCGGAGGCAAGGAAAGAGAUUGUCACUGCCUUGAAUACCACAACGCAACCAUGAAACUGGCUAAUGAGCAUCAACAACUCCAACAAAAUCAACCACUGUCUUUCCAUCCUCCCUUUUAUUCAAGGUUUAGCCCAAAUGGAAGAUUCAAGGCUAGGAGAAGGCCUAGGAUGUUUCUAUCAUCCUCAAACAAAAUUUCACAUUACUUAAAUGAUCUUUCUUACUCCUCUCCCUUCCCACCCUUUCCUUCUCUUCAUUUUCCUCCACCUCCUCUUCCAAUUCCAAAUUUCUACCCCAACACCAUUCCUUCUCCAUUUGCUCAUCCACCCCUUCAGCCAAAACUCCCAAUUUCAUACUUUUAAGUCAGGCAUUGAGAUUCAACCUCAAUCUACACAGUUUCGACAAUUUAGGACCCCCCUUUUGCUUAAUAACAACACAUUGGAUCCUACCAUUUUGCUUAACAACAACACUUUGGAUCCUACCCUUUUGCUGGAUAACAACAUGUUAGAUCCUCCUACCCUUGUGUUGGAUAACAACAUGUUGGAUCCUACCCUUGUGCUGAAUAACAACAUCAUUUUAGAACCUGCCCUUUGUCCUUACAACAAUAACUAAUUACUAUGCUCUUACUCAUCUCCAACAUUAAUUUCCCAUCCAUUUGUGACUGACCAAGACGUUCCUUUGAUUGGAAUAUCACAGUCACAGGGAGAAAGGGUUUCCACAGUGAUGAAUAUCGUUGAAUCCAGUACUACAACUCAAGCUAGUGGAAGCAUGCAUGUAGCCAUGGAUGAAGAGGGCCUAAAAGAGAUCAGAGCAUUGGGCGAGCAACAUCAAAUGGAAUGAGAUGACAAUGAGUCUGGUCACUACAAUUUGGUGGUUUGAUUGCUAACAACAAAUGGAACAUAAUGCACUUGAAGUCAACAAUGAAGUUGAUAUAUGUCAGGGAUCUUGGAUGAUGAACUUGAAUUUCCUUUUUGGGAAAGUUAAUGGUCGGUAAGACAAGCUUUCAAUAGUGUGCUCCCUGGAUUUAGUCCAAGAUACCACUUUACUCUGGUAAGUUGUACAUAUAAUGUUUUGUUACUUUUGAAAGAAAAUGUAUUGUGAGCAGGGAAAGUUAAUAAGGAUAAAAAUAAGUCAACUCAAACCAUCAAGGAAAAUGUCACCAUUUGUCAAAAGGUAAGCAUGAAUAUUUUUUUCAGCAUAAAUAAAUAAAAUAAAAUGAGACACUUCAGGAGUGUCCCAACUCUUAUACAAUCAACACCAUACCACAUACUAACCAAAUCAAAUGAGUAAAAAUCUUUAAGCUAUCAACUCUACCAUUCUUAAAAAUUAUGAGAUUCUUUUGCUUCUAAAUUUCCCCAACCACAACAAUCCACACAUUUUCCCAGAUGUUGUUAAUCUUUUGUGUUGCCCAACCAAGUUUAAAUUGCAAAAAAUGGGAUAUGGAAUCCCAAUGGUACACCAUAAUCUCCCUUAUCCACUUACUACAUAAGCACCAAACCCUCCAAGCUACUUUACAUUUAAAGAACACAUGACUUCCGGAUUCCUCGACCUCCCCACACAUAACACACAAGAUUUUUUUCCAAAUUUACCCCUAUUUUCUCCAAGUUAACACAAGUCGGUAGCCUAUCCCCCAAAACUCUCCAAGCAGUUAUCAUUGAAUAAGGUAACGUCUUAAUGCUCCAAAAUGCCUCAUAGAGUGAUCUAAAACCCCACUUCUUGUGUCCUUAGACAUCUAUAUGUUGAACUUGCAUUUGAUCCCAUGCAUGGUUACCGGUGCUCGCAUUUGCUUACAAAAACACUAGGAAUUUGAGCUUGAAAUAAUUGAGCCCUAGAGAAGACUUAAAGGUCUUCACAAUUAAUAGAAUGGAACCAAAACGAGUCUCAAUCAUGUAAGCAUUGUGUAUUUAAUUCAAUCUUUUGGAUUUUUUCGACCUUCUUAUAUGGUCCAACUUAUUCUGCCAUUUUUGGAUGGUUUCGUUUUAGCUCACACUUCAAUUUGCAUGUAUAACCAUUUGCUAUUCAUAUGCAAUUUCUAUCCUUCUAUUUGGUCAAGCUAACAUCAAGUUAAACAAAAACAAAAAUGUGUGUGCGUUGACAUGUAGGUUGCAAUAAUGCUCACAAAAAUGGAAAAGUACUUUGGAUAACACAUCAAAUUUACAUUAUAGUGAACCAUGAAAUAUAAGAAAUGUAUUAAUUGUACACAUUUUCAACUAUGUUGAAUUUAUGAUCAUAGAUGAAAUUAGGUUUGGGUUUAAAAUUAUUAUAACAGUGUAGUUAGGUUGGUGGUAAGACUAGGUUUUAACCAAGUGAUAGAGGUACAUAAGUUUUGCAUGUAUUAAUUUGUUGAGAAACAUUUUUGCAGUGAUGACCACUAUAUUUUACUUGCCUCUAUCAAAGGUAGCAAUUCUAAACAAAAUUGAGACCCUUUUGAGGUAAGAAAAGUUGGUAGUGAUAAUGGCAUAUUAAAACAAUUAAACAAUAAUGUCCCCUCAAAUUGGUCGUUAUAGAAGAAAGGCAUGUAAGGUUUUUAGGAUUGAAGAAAGUGGAUUCAAGUGUGAGUUAGUUUUUUGUGGGUGAGGGUUUUUCAUUUGUAUAUGUUUUUGUGGGUUUUUUGUGGUAUUAGGGGAUGUUUUGGUUGUAUUGUGUUUUGCCCUUAUAAGGAUCCUGACAGUGUAGUUGAUGUUUUCUUUUGAUAUGGCCUACCAUUCAUAUUCAUUAUUAAGGAUUGGUUGGGUGGUUUCUUGAGCCUGAAGUUUGUUUAUAGAUCAGGUGUUAAGCAGGUUGGCCAUGAUCAUUUUUGUAUAAGGGUUGAGACACUCCCGAAGUAUUUGUAUAAGAGUUGGGACACCCCUAAAGUGUCGCAUUUUAUUUUAUUUAUUAUUUGAGGAUAAAAAAAUAGGAGAAAGGGACCUCACGAACUUGUUAGAGGUAAGAGGUGAGUGACAACAUUGUAGUUCUUAAAUAACAAGUGUGUUAUCAAUUUUAUUAUUUCAUAGUAGAUGUGAAGACUUUUCAUACACUUAUCCAUCAAAAUUCAGUAUUUAUUUUAUCUAUCAUUUCAAGGGUAACAUGAUAAAUGAACAUUAAUAGUUUAAUGUCGUCUUGUGAAGAAAUCAAUUCAAACUUUAAGAAAUUUAUCUUCUAGCUUUUUUAAACAAUGUAGAUCUUGUAUGAAGGUAACAUCUGAAAGUCUCAUGCUCCCUCGUAUUAUAUCUUAUGAUUCUAUACUCUUUUGAAAUCAUGAUGAAAUUUAAAAUAAAUAAAUUUUUAGUUUUUAUAAUGACUUUAUUUAGUUUUUAUUUAUAAUGACAUCAUCCAUUUAAGAUUCACCACCCUCACAAACAUUCAUACUAGCACACUUUUCACUCUCCAUUCUAGAUUGACCACCCUCACAAACAUUGUCACAAACCCCUUAUUCACUCUCCAUUCCAAUCCUAACAUCCUCCACAUCAUCAGCUAGACAAUGAAAUUGAGUCACAAUCUAUGAAGAAAUGCAAAAGGAAAAAAAAAAUACUUACUACGAUUUCAAAAUCAUGUUUCCACUUAGCACAACGAAGAAAAACACACUAUUACAAAGCACUAUUUUCUUCACCUUGCUUCCAAUUGCAACAACAAUGACACAAUUGCAAUCACUCAAUAUCAAACACCUUCUUCUACACUAUAAAUGAUUCAAAUAUUUCCAGUCAAAUGCAAUCAUUCCUAGGUUUAAAAUUCAAAGUAAAAUCCACAAACCAUAUACUCCAUUUGUCACAUCAUAAACUCGUAAAUACCGUCUAUUAUUGAGGAUGUUUUACAUAACUUCAUAAAAUACAAUGAUGCAAUAUAACUACACAUUCUAUGAAGGACGAAAUACAGUAUUUGACGAAAAACAUAUUUAACUCUUAUAUAUUUUAAAUUUUUUAAUAAUCUCAUAAAAAAAAUUAUAAUAAAUAAAUAAAUCGUAUUUUAAAAAUGAAUCUUUAAUUUUACAUUUAGAUAAACAAAUUUUAAAUAUGACUCUAACUUAUUUUGUAUAGAAGUUGAAACUAUUAUAAACUAUUCCUAAGAAAAGAAAAUGUUAUUUUAGAAUGGUUUGGAAUUAAUAUAUGUAUCAAUGCUACAUUUAACGCGUCUACUUACAAGUAUCUUUUGAAAUAAUUAUGCUAUAGUAAACAAAUACCAGCAAUAAUAUAAUAUAUUGUAGUUAAAAAAAAUAAGUUACAAAAUUAGAAACUUCUAAGUUAUUAUCAAAAAAAUAUUAUAUUACAAUUAAUACAAUAUAUUUUAAUAAUGUAAUUAUUAAAAUUUUUGAAACUUAUAUAUAUAUAUAUUUGUUUUUAAAGUAAUACAGUAGCUGGAUUGAAAAUUUAGCUUUUAAGAGUAUUCAGAACUCUAAAGUUGUAGGUACAUGUCGCAAGUGAAUAUGCUGACAAGACUGAGUUAUUAGGCUUUAAAUAACACCUAUAUAAAAAAAAAUAUGUAUAAAUUGAAUAACAUAAUUUUAAACUAUUAAAAGUUGAAAAUUAAAUAAAACUAAAGGUUUGAUUAUAUUUAUUCUUUCAGUAGAAUUGUCUGCUUUAGUUUUGUUUAUAAAAUAAAGCAAAAUAAAUGAAACCAAAUUUAUAAGUUACAAAUUUUAAGUAUUCAUGAAAGGAUUGACCAUAAUGUUUUUAGUUUUGCAAGUUAAUGUUCAAGAAUUCACUAAUUUUGCAUCAAAAUCAAAUAAGUUAGUAAAAUAAGUUAGUGAAUUGUUUUUCAAUGAAAUUGAGAAGUAAGAUUAAACAUAUAAAGAUGCAUUUUCCAUGUUGUUUUGGUUGAAAUUUCAUUCUAAGUUGUUUCAUUGCUUCAUUAUGAAGUCAUUAAUUGAUCAAUAAGUAGAUAGACAAACUAAACAUUUUCACAUGAUGGGUAAAUGAUAAAAAAUGAUAUGUUAGAUUUCAUCCUCUUCUUGUGAGAUGAGAGUUUCUUUCACCAGGUUAGAUUAAAAUUAACACUAAUGGGGUUGCUAGGGGAUAUCCUGGUUUUGCUACUUGUGGAGGUAUUUUCUGUGGGAGUAUGAGGAAAUUUAUUGGAGCUUUCUCUGCCUUUCUUGAAGUUCAGAUUGCUCUAAUUACUGAGUUUUAUGAGGUUAUACAUGCUAUGGAGGAAGCUCAAAAGAUGGAGCUUAUCAAUGUCUGGUUGGAAUGUGAUUCUGCUUUGGUUUGUGCUGCGUUUACUGCUAGGACAAAUGUUUCUAGGAUGCUUUAGAAUCGAUGGAAUACUUGUCUUAAUUACUGUGGGAAAAUCAAGUUUAGGAUUACUCAUAUUUUUCGUGAAGGGGAUGUGCAUGCUGAUAAGUUGACUAAUUUAUGAUUUAUUCAUAGAAAAUAAUUUCAUUAUUUUUUUUUUCAUCAGCAACAUUGGUUUAAUAAGUUUCUAUCUAAUUUAUUAUUAGAAUUCUUUAUGAAUAGGUAUAGUCUAUCUAUGUAUCGUUUUUGUUAAUAUAUGGGUUUUGGCCUAGUCCUCUCAUAUUUUUGUAUUUUUUUUAAUAAUACUUUUUUCAUGUGAUGACAAAUAAUUAUUGUUAGUUGAGAUGUCAGUCUAGCUAAGAUGUCAAUUGCAUAAUGAUGCCUAACAUAAAAGCAUUUUUAUAAAACUAAACAUUUUCAUAUUCUUCUUUUAAUAAAAAUUUCAAACCUGUAUACUAAAAAGUGAUGUUAAAUUUCAAAAGUCUUAGUAGUUUAAUCACAUCAACCUAAAAUAUUAUUAGAAAUUAAAAUUCAAUAAAAAUGCUUGUGAAUAAUUAUCUUUCAUUCUUUAGAUCAAAAUUGAUUGUUUAAAUUUUUUAUUUAAAAAAUCAAACACAGUAAACUAAACAAAAUUUAUAUAAUUAUAACUUUACUUCAUUUAUUUUACAAGCUUGUAACUGUUUCCACUCCUUUCUACUAAACAUUCUAAGUUAAUAUAUUAGUUGUGUCUAUAUUAACGAUGUUCCAUUAAGAUAUAUAAACAAUUCUGUUUUGUAAAUUGUAACGUUAUAAAGGAAGGCCGAUAAAAAAAAAAUUUAAUAAAAGAAUAAACAAAGUUAAAGUUAAAAAAAAUAAAAAAACUAAUUCAAUCAAUUUAAUGAAAUAUACAAAAAUUAGUUUUUUUUUUAAUUUAUUAUCUUUUAACUAACCAUAUUAUUGAUAAUGAGUAAUUUUCAUUAUAAAUUUUCACUAAUUACUAUAUUUGAUAUGUUUUUUUAUUAACAAGAAACAAUUAAAAUAAAUCGGCUAUAUUUCACAUAAACAUAAAAAAAUUAUAAAGAAAUCUUCUAUUGCCUUUCUCAACACUACCUAUUACAAAAGAAACAAAAAAUAUCAAGAAUCACUCCACCUUUGAAGCAUCAAAGACCAAACCUUAAUUUGUGUUAAAAAAAAAUUUCAGUAUGAUCGAUCACUCCACCUCUACCUAAACAAUUAUUUAUAUGUCUUCAAAUCUCGCUAACCUAUAAGCUUCAUCGUCGAGAGGGAAACAGCUCGGAUCACUAGCUAACGUCCCUAAAUGACCGCUCAGUGAUAAAGGAGGUAGGGUGCAGAGACAACUAGGAGGUUUGCCUAGAAGCAGCCACCCUUAGUGCGUAAUAGCUCAGUGAUCGAGGACUCUUGCACCAAAGCUAUGGGUUGUCAAGGGACGAUAAGAUCAACCGAACUCACUCUUAACCAAUAGUAACAAAGAUUCUAAAUUUGCAUCCAAAAAAUAAAUGAUUUGUUGACUCUCUAAUAUCCGAAUAAGUAACAAAUAUUGUUCUCGGUCGCUAUCUCUCGUCUCUCCAAAUUUAUCUUAGAAACUACCUUAUUUUUAAUAACCCUCCAAAUUGUCACGUGAGUCGAAAGAACUCCUUUUGCUUUCGUCGUCAAUCAACUCCACCUCACCCCUCAUCAACCUGCACUGUCCCUGCCACCGCACACCCGCCGCGCACCUCCGUACCGCCGCCGUACCCCACCUCCCGCAACAGCGCCAGCGCUGUUCGCCGCCACACGCGACUCCAACGCUGCCCCCGCUACCGCACCACCGCCAACCUCCGUCCCCGCUCUGCCGCCUUUGACGUCUUCAAGAACGUGUCUUUGUCGGAACCCCCAACGUUUUCCUCCGCUGCGUCGCGGCCAUUCUCGGCAUCGCAGAGAGUUCCGCUCCAACAGGCACGCUGUCUUGCUCACCUUCUGAUUCUCCGCCGUGACCUCCACAGGCACCGCCGCCUCCCAUCCUGUUCGCCGCUCCUCCAGACCAAACCCUAACUGUAUAGCCACGUCAGCAAUUAGGUAAAAAAUUAGGAUUUUUCCACCCAACUUUUUGUACCCAAUUGGGCCUGAACCGGCCCACUACUACACAUUAAGUCAUUUGCCCAUAUUUCAGCAGGAACCAUCCACGUUUUUCAAUUUAAUAUUUCUCUCUUUCCUUAGUUCCAAAGUUAGUUUUGAGUGCUUCCAGCAGAAUUAAUUCCUCCACUAAAGUAUGUGCCACCUUUUCAAAACUCUCCCCUCAUCGGAAACUGAAGAGGCUUCUCCUUUCAUCCAAUGGUUCUUUCAUUAACAAAAUUCAAACUCUGAAAUUUACUUAAUAAGUUGAGUUUAUUAUUACUCAAACCAACAACACUUAACUAUAAUGAGGGGUUGAAUUCAAAGAGGUGAAGUAACAAAAAUAUAAAUCCAAGCUAACGGAUUAAAUUGAAAAUUAAAUUACUUUAACAUAUAUAAAUUACAUUUUUAACUGUAGAUUGAAAUAUUUAUUAAUUUAAUGGAUGAUUUUAAUUUCAUUUGAAAAUUUUACUCACUUUCCAAAUCCAAAAUCAUGUACUUAAAAAGAAAUAUUUAUUAAUUUGACGGUUACUUUGAUUUGAAAACAUUACUUCUUGAAAAGAUAUCCUAAAUGAAAAGAAUGCAAUGCAAUCUAGGUUAGUUAUGUAUGGACCAAAGAAGAUAAGAAAAUCUCAUAAUUCUUUCUCAUCUUUUGCAAUGAAGAGAUAAGGAGAAGAUAGAAUCACCAUUUGGCAAAUGUAAUCUAGGUUAGUUAUGUAUGGACCAAAGAAGAUAAGAAAAUCUUAUAUUUCUUUCUCAUCUUUUGCAAUGAAGAGAUAAGAAGAAGAUAAAAUCACCAUUUGUCAAAAGGUAGGCAUGCAUGGCUACCGUGCUCACAUUUGCUUACAAAAAAACUAGGAAUUUGAGCUUGAAAUAACUGAGCCUAGAGAAGACUUAUAGGUCUUCACAAUUAAUAGAGUGGAUCCAAAAUGAGUUUCAGUCAUGUAACCAUCCAUCUAUUUAAUUCAAUCUUUGGAUUUUUGUGACCUUCUUAUAUGGUCCAACUUAUCCUGCCAUUGUUGGAUGGUUUCAUUUUAGCUCAAACUUCAAUUUACACACUGCUCUCAAUUAAGUGCAAGAAACAAGUUUCAUUUCUAUGCAUUUAUAACUAUUUGUUGUUCCUAUGCAAUUUCUAUCCUUCUAUUUCGUAAAGCUAACAUCAAGUUAAAACAAAAACAAAAAUAUGUGUGUGUUGACGUGCAGGUUGCAAUAAUGCUCAUAAAAAUGAAAAAGUAUUUUGAAAAUAGCAACAUAUAAAAUUUACAUUAUAGUGAACCAUGAAAUAUAAAAAAUGUAUUAAUUGCACACAUUUUCAAUUAUGUUGAAUUUAUUAUCAUAGGUUUAGGUUUAAAAUUAUUAGAACAGUGUAGUUAGGUAGGUGGUAAGAGUAGGUUUUAAACAAGUGAAAUUAGUAGUGAGAAUAUUAUUGGUUACAAAGCCUCCUCCUACUCCACCUCCAAACCCUCCUCCUCUACUUACACCUACUCCAAUUCCACCUCCAGUUUUGCAUGUAUGAAUUUGUUAGAGAAACAUUUUUACAAUGAUGACCACUAUCUUUUACUUGCCUCUACGAAAGGUAGCAAUUUUGAACAAAAUUGGGACCCUUUUGAGAUAAGAAAAGUUGGUAGUGAUAAUGACAAAUUAAAAUAAUUAAAUAAUAAUGGUCCCCUCAAAUUGGUCUUUAUAGGAGAAAGGGACCUCACAAAUUUAUUAGAGGUAAGAGGUGAGUGACAACAUUAUAGUUUUUUUAUAGUUUUUAAAUGACAAGUGUGUUAUCAAUUUUAUUAUUUGAUAGUAAAUGUGAAUUAAUUUCAUCUUGUGAAGAAAUCAAUUCAAACAUUAAGAAAUUUAUCGUCUAGUUUUUGAAACAAUGUUGAUUUUGUAUGAAGGUAACAUAAAGUCUCAUGCUCCUUCCGGUGUCUUAUCUAUACUCUUUUGAAAUCAUGAUGAAAUUUAAAGGAAAUAAAUUUUUAGUUUUUAUAGUGACUUUUUUUAGUUUUAAUUCUUCUGUUUUAUUUAUUAAUCCCUAUUAUUAUAAUUAUAAAAAAAUAAUCCUAGUAAAAUUUAUAUGUAGAUAAACUCUUUUUAGUUCUUAGAUUAUAUAAAUGAUUAUUAUUAAUAAUAAGUUGUUUCAAAAAUGUAAAUUAUUUUGCAGAUUUUAUAAAAUAAAGAAAGGAAAGAAAAUAAAUAUGAUUAUUUUUAAAUAAAGAAAGAGAAAAAAAUAAGUAUGGUUAAAUGUGGGUUAUUUUGUUCUAGGUUCUGAAUUGUUGGAGGAUUAGAAGAUUUAAAUCCUUUUAAUUAUAUUUUACAUUAUAUAUUUUUUAAAUGGGUUAAAAUACUCUUAAUAAUUCUAUUAAUUUUAUUUUUUGUUAUCUAUAAAUUUUUUUUUACAUAUAUUUAUAUAUGUCAAUUAAUGUUUUAAUAAUAAUAAUAUUAACUAUUUUUUAUUAUUAAGCUUUUAUUUGUUUUUAAUUUUAAAUAAUUUACAUAUAUAUUUCUUACGCAGGUGGAAAAUAAAGAAGUAAAAAAGAAAAUUAUAUAUAUUAUAAUAAAGUUUUUUAUUAUAUUUCUUUGUUACUGGCUAAACGAAAAAGAUAAUAAAAAACUGAGAGUACUUAUUGUGUUCUCUUAUCUCUAAGAUUAAUAAAUAGAAUUAAACUUAAUUAUAGUGAAUAUUAAUUAACAGUGUUUAAUUGAUGGGAAUCUUAAAGAAUCGAAAAUUGUAAUUUAUUGUGAGUAAGGUGCAUGAAACAGAAAGAAAAGAAGUCAACCAAUAUGACCAUAAAUACUGUGAUUCAACUAAUGCAGUGGUUUGUGGCAAUAAAAGAGAACUCUGCAAGGUCUCUGAAGAUGGACAGGAAUAUGCAGUCUAAAUAACAAUAGGUGUUUUAUGAGUAACAAUAGAUGUUUUUACUCUAAAAAUAUGACUAUCGUUAAAUAAUUAGUUGUUAUAGUGACUAAAUUUGAGACCAUUUUCAGACUAUAUAAAUUUUUUAUUUCUAAAUUAGUUUCUAUUACUGUGAAAUAGUUUCUUAAUUGGUAUUUAAUUAGCUACCAAUGUUUUAAUUACCAAUUAUUUAGAUUCUAAAUUUAGUAGCAAAAACCUUAGUUGAUAAUUAGAUACCAAUUUAGAAACCAUUUAACAAUAAUAGAAACUAAUUUAGAAACUAAAAAUUUAUUUAGUCCCUAAAAUGGUCUCUAAUUUAGUCACUAUAGCAACUAAUUAAUUUUUUUUCUCUAAAAUUGGUUUCUAUUUCAUGAUUUUCUUGUAGUGUAAAAUACACAAACUUCAUUUGUCACAUCAUAAACUUGUUAAUAUUGUUCUGAGGAUGUUUUACAUUAUAUCAAAAUUAUAAUGAUGCAAUAUAACUAUACAUUCAAUGAGGGACGAAAUACAGUUCUUCAUUACGUGAAACAAAAAUUAUAUUUAACUUUUAUAUUUAUGAGAUUUUUUUAAUAAACUCAUAAGAAAAAAAAUCUAUAAAAUAUUAAUAAAUUUUAUUUUUAAAAUCAAUCUUUAAUUUUAUAGUUGGGUAAACAAACUUUAAUUAAGAGUCUAACUUAUUAUGCAUAAGAGCUUUAGGAGUUGACUAUUAAAAAUUAUUCAUUCACUCCAUCAAGAAAAGAAAACGUUAUUUUAUUAAUGGUUUGGAAUUAAUACAUGUAUUAAUGUCACAUUUAAGGCAUGUACUUACAACUAUAUUUGAAAUAAUUAUGCUAUAGCAAAAAGGUACCAGCAAUAAUAUAAUAUAUUGUAGUUAAAAAAAAUAAGUUACUAAAUUAGAAACUUCAAAGUUAUAACCCGUUAUAACCAAACAAAUAUUAUAUUACAAUCAAUACAAUAUAUUUCAAUAAUGUAAUUAUUGAAAUUUUGGAAAGUUAUAUGUAUAAACAUUUGUUUUUUUAAAGUAACGCAGUGAUUGGGUUGAAAAAUUAGCUUUUAAGAGUAUUCAGAACUCUAAAGUUAUAGUAGUAGACUUGUUGCAAUUGAAUUUUAAACUAUUAAAAGAUAUUGUAUUGAAAAUUAAAUAAAACUAAAGGUUUGAUUAUUGUUUGUUGUUGGUAAAGUGUUUCUGGAAAGGAUGAAGUUAUUUUUCGAUUUGUAUAAUGGUUGAGAAAUUAAACUAAACCAAAUUUAAUUAGUUGUGUCUAUAUCAAUAAUGUUCAAUUAAGAUAUAUAGGCAAUUUUGUUUUGUAAAUUGUAAUAUGUAACAAAAGAAUAUAAACAAAGUAAUUUUUUUAAAAAACUAAUUAAAUCAAUUUAAUGAAAUAUAUAAAAAUUAAUUUUCUUCUAAAUUUAUUAUCUUUUUAACUAAUCAUAUUAUUGAUAUAAAGUAUUAUUAACUUUUUAUCAAUGACUUUUUCGUUAUAAUUUUUCAUCCAACGCUUCUUUCUUUCAUUAACAAAAUUCAAACUCAGAAAUUUACUUAAUAAGUUGAGUUUAGUAUUACUCAAACCAACAACACAAUUAUAAUGAGGGGUUGAAUUGAAAGCGGUUAAGUAACAGAAAUCCAAAAGCGAACCUAAUUAGUUUAUCUUAUAUAAAUUACAUUUUUAAAUGUAGAUUAAAAAUGUAUUAAUUUAAUGGAUGAUUUAAUUUCAUUUGUAAACUUUACUGACUUUUCAAAUCCAAAAUCUUAUUGAAAUAUAUAUUGAUUGUUUAUGGAUUAAAGAAGAUAAAAAGAGAGACUUCCACUUCUACCUUCCACCCUUCAAAAUAGGAACUUCCAAGAUAUUCCAAGAUACUCUCGUGUCCUUCCUUUUUAACAAUAACUUUUAAGACAAUGGUGAGGAUACAAAUGCCAAUACAAAAAAUAAUAAUUGAAGGAACGAACCCUAUGUUUCAUCCAUAACCAUGAUCUAAGUUAUGUCUGAUGGAGAAUUUCUUCAGCAUCUGGUAUUCCUUGUUUAAAGAUAACCAAGUUUCGUUGCUCCCAAAUUCCUCUUACUACAGCCACCCAUAUGCCUUUCCAUACAGAUUCUGCUUAAUACUCAAAUAUGCUAAGUGGAAAUUCUCAAAGUGACACUUCAAAUCCUUAUGUUGGACAAAAAUGAUACCUAUCCACCUAAAGCAUAGAACCCACACUCGUUGCGCAAUGGCACAUUCUAGGAAGAAGUGUUGAGAGGUCUCUUCCAAAGUUUGUCAAAGCGCACAAAUAGAUUAACUAACUACCACUCAUCUUCUGAUAAGGUUGGUUCUUGUUGGCAUUCUAUCCAACAGUAUUCUCCAAGCAGUAGUUAAAACAUUAGGCAAUGCUUUACUCUGCCAUAACUGUUUAAAGAGUCCAUCAGUCGGGCCAUUGACUUGAUUAGUGAGACACACACGUAAGCUGACUUAACUGAGAAUUCCCUAUAGUAUUCCCUCCCCAAAGUUGGAGGUAUGAUUCCUCCCUAUUCAAAACUUCCUCAGAGAUGAACCUUGACAUUUAUUCUUCUUGUACAAAUUCCCAAUCAAACCUGACCCUCAUCCACCUCAACCUCUAAUACCAAACUACGUCUUCCCACACACCUACCUCGCCCAUCAUCAUUCCCUAGUCCAAUGAUAUGGGAUACAACCUAAGGUACAAAUUAUCAAGUUUAUUAUCCAACAGUAUUCUCCAAGCAGUAGUUAAAACAAUAGACAAUGUUUUACUCUACCAUAACUGUUUUAAAGAGUCCAUCAGUCGGGCCAUUGACUUGAUUAGCGAGACACACACGUAGGCUGACUUAACUGAGAAUUCCCUAUCCCCUUCCCAAAGUUGGAGGUAUGAUUCCUCCCUAUUCAAAACUUCUUCAGAGAUGAACCUUGACAUUUAUUCUUCUUGUACAGAUUCCCAGUCAAACCUGACCCUCAUCCACCUCAACCUCCAAUACCAAACUACUUCUUCCCACACACCUACGUCGCCCAUCAUCAUUCCCUAGUCCAAUGAUAUGGGGUACAACCUAAGGUACAAAUUAGCAAGUUUAUUAUCACCAACCAAAACAUCUUCCCAGAAUGUUGCUCUGUUCUCAGAUCCAACUUUCCAAACUAAUGUUUUUUGGAACCAUCCUUGGUCUUCUCCGUCGCCACAUACUUUACUUAAGUAUCUCUACCACCAAGAUUGAAAUUUCACAUUGGUCUGGCUUCGCCUUGAUUCCAAGCUGUAUUUUGAUGCAAAAAUAUCUUCUCACUUUCCUUGUUCUUUUCUCACCAGCCGCCAUUUCCAUUUUGCAAACAAAACACUGUUAAACAUUCUGGUAUCUCUAAUCCCCAACCCUCCUUCCUCUAAGGUUUACAUACAUUCUCCCAACUGACCCAGACUAUUGAUGUAUGAUAUCUUUCCCAUGCCCAAAGAAACCUCCUAUAGAUACUGAUUAUUCUAUUACACACUGAUGCCGAAGCUUUAUAAAAGGAUAAAUCAAGUAGGGGUAAGACACAAAAUACCAACUUAAUAAAGCAAAUUCUUCUCGCCAAAGAUAAGAAUCUCCCCUUCCAAGUACUCAACCUAACACUUAUCUCAUUCAAAAUUAGCUCCCAGAACUGCUUUUUCCAUGGUUUACCUCCUACUUCUAACCCCAAGUAAAUGAAAGGUAUCCUUAUGAGAGUACAAUUUAAAGAUUUUGCAUUUCAUUUAAGGGAAUUCCUCUCAACAUUUGAUUUGUGGAAGUUAAUUUUCAAACCAGCGACCAACUCAAAACACCUUAAUAUAGCUUUAAUUGCAAUGAUAUUGGAGAAGGAGUCUUCACACAUGACUAGAAUAUCAUCCGCAAAUUGUAACAUGCAAGAUUCAAUCUCACUCCUUCCCACCUUCACACCUUUAAGUAGAUUCUCCUUAAAGCGCUUGUCUAACUAGCCCGCCAAAGCCUCUAGCUACAACAAGAAAGAGGAAUGAAGCUGAUGGAUCUCUCUGCCUCAACCCUCUAGAUGGAUAAAAUUCUGUCGUGGGGCUUCCAUUCACCAGAACUGAUACCGUUGCAGACUCCAAGCAGUCUCUGACCCAUUUGAUCCAUUUAUAGUGAAAGCCCAGCCUGUGUAGCAUAUCAUAUAAGAAAUUCCACCUUAUCGAAUCAUACGCCUUUUCAUAGUCCACCUUCAGACACAAUCCUUCCUUCGGAACCUCCUUAUCUCCUCAACCACCUCAUUGGCCACUAAGACGCUAUCUAACGUUCCUUUGUCCUUCAACUGGAUGUCAUCAAUAACCAUAGGUAGUACAUUCUUAAUCCGACAGUAUAACACCUUGGUAACAAUUUUAUAUAAAGCGCCCACUAGAGAUAUAGGUCUAUACUGAUCGAGAUUUAUGGGAUCUCUUACUUUAGGUACUAAGGUUAUAAAAGAGGCAUUACAACCCUCCGAAAAGCAACCUGUUUCCUGAAAACAAAGCACAACUUCCAUGAUGUUGUGCUUAAGAGUAUCCCAGUUAUACUUGAUGAAGUUAAAACUAAACCCAUUUUUGAACCUUCACACCGCCAAACCGCUUCCUUUACUUCUUUCCUUGUGACAUCAUAGAUCAUACUUAAGCUAAACUAACCUACAAAGGUAGAGUUAGUGAAUUGUUUUUCAAUCAAACUCAAAAGUGCGAUUAAACAUAUAAAAAUGCACUAACAUGUUGUUUUGGUUGAAACUUUGCUCAUUAAAUAAUUUAUAUAUAUAUAUAAACUAAACAGUUUCAUUUUUUUUAAUAAAUUGUUCAAACUUUAUUGUAAAAAUUGAGGUUAGAUUUCACAAGUGUUCACACCAACCUAAAGUAUUAUUAGAAAUUAAAAUUCAACAAAAAUGCUUGUAUUUGAUUCUCUUUUAUUCAUUAGAUCAAACUUGAUUGGUUUAAUUAAAAAAAUCAAACACACUAAACUAAUCCAAAUUUAUAUAAUUAUGACUUUACUUAAUUUAUUUUACAAGCUUGUAAACAUUCCUUUCUACUAAACAUUAUAGGUUAAUAUAUUAUUUAGUUGUUUCUAUAUUAACAAUGUUCGAGUAAGAUAUAUAGGCAAUUCUGUAUUCUAAAUUGUAACGUAAUAAAAUAAUAAAAACAGUUAAAGUUAAAAAAAUAAAAAAAACUAAUUAAAUCAAUUUAAUUAUAUAAAAAUUAUUUUUCUUCUAAAUUUAUUAUUUUUUUAUUUAAACAUAUUAUUGAUAUAAAGUAUUAAAAUUUAUCAAUGACUAAUUUUUGUUAUCAAAUUUUACUGACUAUCUUUCGUAUGGUCUUUCAUCCCAAUGAUUCUUUGUUUCAUUAAUAAAAUUCAAACUCGAAAUUUACUUUGAGUAUAGUAUUACUCAAACCAACAACACUUAACUAUAAUUAACUUAACUAUAAUUAGGGGUUGGAUUGAAAACGGUGAAGUAACAAGAAGAUAAAUCCAAGCUAACCUAAUGGAUUAAAUUGAAAAUUAAAUUAAAUUUAUUUAAACUUAAACAAUUACAUUUUUAACUGUAAAUUUAUUAAUUUAAUGGAUGAUUAAUUUGAUUUGAAAACUUUACUUAGACUUUCCAAGUCAAAAAUCUUAUACUUAAAAAGAAUAUUUAUUAAUUUAAUUGAUGGUUAAUUUGAUUUGAAAACUUUACUUCUAUAAAAGAAAUCCUAAAUUAAAAGAAUGCAAUGCAAUCUAGAUCGGUUGUAUAUGGAUCAAAGAAGAUAAAAAUUUCAUAUUUCUUUCUAACCUUUUGUAAUGAAGACAAAAGAAAAAAAUAGAGUCACCAUUUGUCAAAAGAUAGAAAUGCAUGGUUGUCGUGCUCGCAUUUGCUUACAAAAAUACUAGACAUUUGAGCUUGAAAUAACUGAGUCUAGAGAAGACUCAUAAGUCUUCAAAAUUAAUAGAAUGGAACCAAAAUGAGUCUGAGUCAUGUAAGCAUUGAGUAUUUAAUUCAAUCUUUGGAUUUUUGCGAUCUUCUUAUAUGGUCCAGCUUAUUCUGCCAUUGUUGGAUGGUUACAAAGCUUUGCUUCUCAUGCACAACAUCUGGUAUAGAAGAGUAGAAACCACUACAUGCAAUAUAACUUAAUUCAAAUGUUAUAAGCAUAAAUUAUUUUCUUUAAAACAAGACAUGGAAUGUGUAAAACAAUUUCAGUCACUCUUGCAUGCCAAACUUUUAUCAACACUCUUACUUACAUUAUACUUAGUGUCCAUGGCCAAAUCCAACUCCACCGCCACAACCACCACCACUAACUCCAAAGUUAUCACCACUAACUCCAAAGCCAUCACCACAACCAAAUGCGCCACCUCCACCUCCGAAUUCCUCCUCCUCCACCUACACCUCCUCUAAUUCCACCUCCAAUUUUGCAUGUAUGAAUUUGUUGAGAAACAUUUUUGGAGUGAUGACCACUAUGUUUUACUUGCCUCUAUCAAAGGUAGCAAUUCUGAACAAAAUUGGGACCCUUUGAAAUAAGAAAAGUUGGUAGUGAUUGAUGAGCAUAUGUUUAUUCACACUCACUAGCCUUAUUCAUAGAUUAUUGGACUAUAAUAAUAAAUAAAUCCAUUGUUUUAAUUAAUAUUCAUAUAAUUGGGUUUAUUUUGGCCUUAACUAUUAUCUUUGGUAAUUUUGUGUUUUUAGGGUAAAUUAUCUGAAGCAUCUACCUUUGUGAAUGAGCCAAAUAUGCAAAAGUCCAAGUUGCUUCUUUGAAUCAAAACAGAAAACAAAUUUUGAGGAGAAGAAAGAGAAAAUAAAAGCUACAAGAUUCCAGAAACAGAAUUGGAAGCAAAUCUUCUGCAAAAUAAAAAGAAUUAUGGAAAGUGGAAAUUGUUUACAAAAUCUAAACUGCAAUAUUUUCCCAAGAUCCUUGGAGCAGAAAAGCCCUAUAAAAGGACACAAGCAUCAAGGAGAAGAGGGAGAGCUUCAUAGGGUUUUCUUAGUUUCUUUUCUUCUUUAUAAUUCUUUUGUUUUGCCUCCGCAUGGAAGGCUAAACCUUUUUGGUUGAUUCCUUUGUAAUUUCUCAUUGAGUUCUGAGGUUUUGUUCUAUAAAAGUUUCGAUUUUUAAUUCUCUAUAGCAGUUGUUUUUAUUGUCUAAUCUCCUGGAAAACUGGAUUUUGUGAGAGGUUGUACUUGAACGCAUGAUUGAGAGUCUUCCUUAUCUUAAACUUUGGUUUCUUAGUUAGUUCGCAUUGUUCUAAUUAAUUUCUUGGGCACAUGAUUCAAGAGAGAGGAGGUAAGCAUUCCCAUGGAGUAUACGCAUGGAACAAAGUGGGUAUUGAUUAAACCAGUAGACGCAUGUUUUACUGGUGAGUUUCAGUUGAAUUAGAUUGGCGCAUGUUCAAUCUGGUUUAACUCUGUUGAAGGAUUGAGAAAAGAUUAAUCUUUAGAGAACCUGUGAAGAAUUCAAUGGUGGAAGAACUUGGGAUCAACCGCUUUUUAUUUGCUAUUUUAAUCUCUUUUAUAUAUUUUGCACAACUAUCUCAAACCCCUUUUUCAUCUUUAUUGUUAUUGCUAACUUUUAUUGCUUGCAGGUAGAUUUUAAACCCUGAUCAACUGAUUUUACUAUUGGAUUCGUUGGGAGACGACUUGGGGACAUCUGUCCACAAUUAUACUAUCAUCUCUCUAGUGUUAGACAAGUCUACGCUAGAAUCAUAUUAAUUUGACAGCAAAACGACAGCUAUCAGUGAUAAUGACAGAUUUUUUUUUUGGAAAAAUAAAAUAAUGGUCCCCUCAAAUUCGCCUUUUGUAGGAGAAAGAGACCUUAUAAGUAACAACAUUGUAGUUCUUAAAUGACAAGUGUGUUAUGAAUGUUAUUAUUUCAUAGUAAAUGUGAAGAAUUUUAAACACUCAUCCAUCACAAUUUAUGUGUUUUUAAUCUUUAAAUAAUUUACAUACUUAUUAUGUAGGUGGAAAAUAAAGAAGUAAAAAAGAAAAUUCUAUAUUUAUUUUUAUUAUAAUAAAGUUUUUUAUUAUAUUUCUUUGUUACUGGCUAAAUGAAAAAGAUAAUAAAACCUGAUGGAGUAACUUAUUAAGUUCUUUUAUCUCUAAGAUACGACUUUAGGAAUUAUAAAUUGAAUUAAACUUAAUUAUAGUGAAUAUUAAUUAACAGUGUUUAAAUGAUGGGAAUCUUAAAGAAUCGAAAAUUGUAAUUUAACAGUGUUUAAUUGAUGUGUGCAUGCAUCUAUAUAAAAUUAUUUCUCUAUUAUUUCUCUAUUUUCUGUGUAAAAGGAAAUUGGUGUCUUUCUGUUAGAAUUUCUUUUUUAAAUUAUUCUUCGAUUUUCAUUUUUUUCGAUCUUAUCUCAGUGUUGAUGGGUGAAAUUAUUCAGUUUAGUUAAUUGGCUUGAUUAUACAAGGAGAACAAAAUAAUAUAAAAAACAAAGAAAACACAGAGUAAUGUGCAUUCAACUAAAAAUUUGCAUGAUCCAAUAUUAAUUUACAGAAAUACAGUUAAUAUACAUUUCUUUCUUUAUUUCUUUUUCUCUCUAUAUAUAUACAUGACAUGCUAAUUAAAACUUAAAUGAUAAAUAUUUUUUACAAAAUUGUUAAAGAUGGAACUAUUUCAAAAAUAGAAGCAAAUGCUUGAAAUAAUAUAAUUUGAACUUAUUUCAAAUUUAAAAAAUUUAUAUAUUUUUAUUUUAAAAUACUCAUAUCUUAAUCAACAGAAAGAGGCAAAGUAUGUAUUGUAGCAUUGAAGACAUGGCUUGGUGUGUGACUAAUUGAGACCAUUAAACAUAAAGAAUCCAUUUAAAGUGGGUGGUAAUAAAAGGGUAGCAAGCGUAGUUUGCCAAAACAGGAAAAAGUUCAAAACAACAUAAAAGCUCUAUGUUUUCCCCAACUCUUUAUAAUAAUACACGAGGCCUUGAAGGAGAUUCAUGACUUUUUUGUUUCACUGUCUUCCUAUAUAUUAUGUACUUGGUAUCUAUUAUAGGAGAAAAAACACGAUUCCACCAACCUUUCCUCUCCCUUCUUCCUUCUAUUCACAUCCAAGUUCAUACAAAACCCCAUAGAAAUGAGAGGUAGAGAUAUUCUCUAAAGCAACAAAACAAAAAAAGUUACUAGAAAUUCAACAAGACCCUCCUCCUCCGUCUCCUCCUUCUCAACUCUCUUUUGCUUACAAUCAUAAGAAAAAACUGGACACCUCAAAACCAAUACACUCCACCAUGAACAACAAAGCCCCAAGUUUUGAUGAUUCUAAUGUUGAUUGCAAUGUUUCCCCAAAUCAAAAUCUAAGACAACAACAUGGCCAACAACAGCUCAGAAGACAAGCUAGAAGAAGGCUUACUAAUAGGCCUUAUCAAGAAAAUCUAAUGAAUAUGACAGAGGCAAGGAAAGAGAUUGUCACUGCCCUGAAAUACCACAGGGCAACCAUGAAACAGGCCAAUGAGCAUCAACAACUCCAACAACAUCAUCCAGUGCCUUUCCAACCUCCAUUUUAUUCAAGGUUUAGCCCGGAUGGAAGAUUCAAGGCUAGGAGAAGGCCUAAGAUGUUUCUACCACCAUCAAACAAAAUUUCACAUUACUUAAAUGAUCUUUCCUUCUCCUCACCUUUCCCACCCCUUCCUUCUCUUCAUUUUCCUCCACCUCCUCUUCCUCUUCCUCCUCCUCCACUUUCAAAUUUAUACUCCAACACCAUUCCUUCCCCAUUUUCUCAUCCACACCCUCAUCCAGAAACUCCCAAUUUCAUACUUCCAAGUCAGGCAUUGGGAUUCAAUCUUAAUCUACACAAAUUCAACAGUUUAAAACCGCCCCUUUGCUUAAUAAGAACACUUUAGACCCUACCAUUUUGCUUAAUAACAACACUUUGAAUCCUACCCUUUUGCUGGAUAACAACAUGUUAGAUCCUACCCUUGUGUUGGAUAACAACAUGUUGGAUCCUAUCCCUGUGCUUAACAACAUUUCAGAUCCUACCCGUGUGCUGAAUAACAACAACAAUUUAGAACCUGCCAUUUUUCCUUACAACAAUAAAUCAUCACUGUGCUCUUACUCAUCUCCAACAUUAACUUUCCCUCCAUUUGUGACUGGUCAAGACGUUCCUUCGAUUGAAAUAUCACAACCACAUGGAUAAGGAGUUUCCACAGUGAUUAAUACCGUUGAAUCCAGUACUACAACCCAAGCUAGUGGAAGCAUGCAUGUGGACAUGGAUGAAGAGGGCAUGGAAGAGAUCAGAGCAUUGGGCGAGCAACAUCAAAUGGAAUGGGAUGACAAUAUGAGUCUGGUCACUUCAGUUUGGAGGUUCAAUUGCUUACACCAAAUGGAACAUAAUGCACUUGAAUUCAACAAUGAAGUUGAGAAAUGUCAUGGGACCUUUGAUGAUGAACUUGAAUUUUCUCUAUGGGAAAAUUAAUGAUCUGUAAGACAAGCUUACAAUAGUGUGCUCCCUGGAUUUAGUACACUGGAUUUUGUCGGGUAGCUCUGUUAGGGUUUUGUUUUAGUGGGAAAAUUACCCAUUUUUCCCAACACUAGGGGAUAUCCUGGUUUUGCUACUUGUGGAGGUAUUUUCUGUGGGAGUAUGAGGGAAUUUAUUGGAGCUUUCUCUGCGUUUCUUGAAGUUCAGAUUGCUCUAAUUGCUGAGUUUUAUGAGGUUAUACAUGCUAUGGAGGGAACUCAAAAGAUGGGGCUUACUAGUGUCUGGUUGGAAUGUGAUUCUGCUUUGGUUUGUGAUGCGUUUACUGCUAGGACAAAUGUUCCUAGGAUGCUUCGGAAUUGAUGAAACACUUUUCUUAAUUACUGUGGGAAAAUCAGGUUUAUGAUUACUCAUCAUAUUUUUCGUGAAGUGAAUGUGCAUGCUGAUAAGUUGACUAAUUUAGGAUUUAUUCAUAGAAAAUAAUUUCAUUGUUUUUUUUUUCAUAAGCAACAUUGAUAUAAUAAGUUUUCAUCUAAUCUAUAAGAAAAUGAUAAAAAAAUGGUAUGAAUAAGAGAUGUUUCUUAUUCUCUUAUGUGUAUAUUACAUCACUCAUGUAUAGGAAAUAUAUAGGGAGUUUCUAUCUCUCAAAUUACAAUCUAAUUAGGUAAGAUACUAAUCAUGAGAUUCUAUAAUUAUUAAAUUAAUUGCAUAUAAUUGGGUACAAUAUCGUCAAAUAUUGCCUACAAUAAUUGCAUAUAAUUUGAUAAUUAUUAUUUCCUUAAUAUAAUCUAUUAUUAGAAUUCUUUAUGAAUAGGUAUAGUCUACCUAUGUAUCGUUUUUGUUAACAUAUGAGUUUUGGCCUAAUCCCCUCAUAUUUUUGUAUUUUUUUAAUAAUACUUUUUUCACGGGAUGAUAGAUGAUUGUUGUUACUUGAGAUGUCAGUCUAGCUGAGAUGUCAAGUUGCAUAAUGAUGUUUAACAUGAAAGCAUUUUUAUAAAACUAAACAUUUUCAUAUUCUCCUUUUUAAUAAAAUUUUCAAACCUGUAUACUAAAAACUGAGGUUAGAUUUCAUAAUUCUUCGUAGUUGAAUCACACCAACCUAAAAUAUUAUUAGAAGUUAAAAUUCAAAAAAAAAUGCUUGUGAAUAAUUAUCUUUCAUUCUUUAGAUCAAAAUUGAUUGGUUUAAUUUUUUAUUUAAAAAAUCAAACACAGUAAACUAAACCAAAUGUAUAUAAUUAUGACUUUACUUCAUUAUUUUACAAGCUUGUAAAUGUUUCCACUCUUUUCUACUAAACAUUCUAAGUUAAUAUAUUAGUUGUGUCUAUAUUAAUGAUGUUCCAUUAAGAUAUAUAGGCAAUUCUGUUUUGUAAAUUGUAACAUGUAGUAAAGGAAGGCUGAUAAGAAAAUGUAAUAAUAAACAAUGUUAAAGUUAAAAAAAAUAAAAAAACUAAUUAAAUCAAUUUAAUGAAAUAUAUAAAAAUUAGUUUUUUUUAAUUUAUUAUCUUUUAACUAACCAUAUUAUUGAUAUAAAGUAUUAUUAACUUUUAUAAAUGACUAAUUUUUAUUAUAAAUUUUCACUAAUUACUAUAUUUGAUAUUUUUUUUAUUAACAAGAAAUAAUUAAAAUAAAUUGACUCACUUAAGGAUGGUCAAACCAUCAUACGGAGUAAGAAAGGACAAAUAUUUUCACAUACACAUAAAAAAAUCAUAAAGAAAUCUUCAACCGCCUUUCUCAACUCUACCUAUUACAAAAGAAACAAAAAAAAAUCCAGAAACAACUCUUAUAAUGACAUUAAAUAGAAUAUAUACCUACCAAGAGUAUCUUUGAAGCAUCAAAAACCAAACCUUAAUUUGUAUUAGAAAAAAAACUUAUGAUUGAUCACUCCACCUUUACAUAAACAAUUAUUUAUGUGUCUUCAAAUCUCACUAACCUAUAAUACGAUUAAUUGAGUGAAAACAUCCAGAAUUUUGGAACGUUCAAAAUGUGACCCAUCGGCCAGUGAGACAAUGGGGGAUAAGCUUCUUCGUCGAGAGGGAAACAGUCCGGAUCACCAGCUAAGGUCCCUAAAUGACCACUAAGUGAUAAAGGAGGAACGGUGCAGAGACAACUAAGAGGUUUGUCUAGGGUAGCCACCCUUGAAAGAGUGCGUAAUAGCUCACUGAUUGAGGACUCUUGUCAAGGGACGAUAAGAUCAACCGAACUCACUCUUAAGCAAUAGUAACAAAGAUUUCAAAUUAACCAAACAACUUUACAUCCGAAGAAUAAAUGAUUUGUUGACUCUCUAAUAUCCGCAUAAACAACAAAUAUUGCUCUCGGUCGUUAUCUCUCGUCUCUUCAAAUUUAUCUUAUCCGCAUAAGCAACAAAUAUUGCUCUCGGUCGUUAUCUCUCGUCUCUUCAAAUUUAUCUUAGAAACUAUCUUAUUUUUAAUAACCCUCCAAGAUGUACCUUUGCUUUCGUCUUUAAUCAACCGCACCUCACCCCUCACCUUCUUCCUCAUCAACCUGCACUGUCCCUGCCACCGCACACCCGCCGCGCACCUCCGUACCGCCGCCGCACCCCGAUCCCGCGCCUGCGCCGUCCGCCGCGACGCGCAGCCCCAUCUCCCGCAACAGCGCCAGCGCUGUUCGCCGCCACACGCGACUCCAACGCUACCCCCGCUACAGCACCACCGCCAACCUCCGUCCCCGCGCUGCCGCCUUUGACGUCUUCAAGAACCCCCAACGUUUUCCUCCGCUGCGUCGCGAGCCAUUCUCGGCAUCGCAGAGAGUUCCGCUCCAACAGGCACGCUGUCUUGCUCUCCUUCUGAUUCUCCGCCGUGACCUCCACUGGCACCGCCGCCUCCCAUCCUGUUCGCCGCUCCUCCAGACCAAACCCUAACUGUAUAGCCACGUCAGCAAUUAGGUAAAAAGUUAGGAUUUUCCCAUCCAACUUUUUGUACCCAAUUGGGCCUGAACCGGCCCACUACUACACAUUAAGUGAUUUGCCCAUAUUUCAGCAGGAACCAUCCACGUUUUUCAAUUUAAUAUUCCUCUCUUUCCUUAAUUCCAAAGUUAGUUUUGAGUCUUUCCAGCAGAAUUAAUUCCUCCACUAAAGUAUAUGCCACCUUUUCAAUACUCUCCCUUCAUCGGAAACUGAAGAGGCUUCUCCUUUCAUCCAAUGCUUCUUUCAUUAACAAAAUUCAAACUCGAAAUUUACUUAAUAAGUUGAGUUUAUUAUUACUCAAACCAACAACACUUAACUAUAAUGAGCGGUUGAAUUCAAAGAGGUGAACUAACAAAAAUAUAAAUCCAAGCUAACGGAUUAAAUUGAAAAUUAAAUUACUUUAACAUAUAUAAAUUACAUUUUUAACUGUAGAUUGAAAUAUUUAUUAAUUUAAUGGAUGAUUUUAAUUUCAUUUGAAAAUUUUACUCACUUUCCAAAUCCAAAAUCAUGUACAUAAAAAGAAAUAUUUUUUAAUUUGACGGUUACUUUGAUUUGAAACAUUACUUCUUGAAAAGAUAUCCUAAAUGAAAAGAAUGCAAUGCAAUCUAGGUUAGUUAUGUAUGGACCAAAGAAGAUAAGAAAAUCUCAGAUUUCUUUCUCAUCUUUUGCAAUAAAGAGAUAAGAAGAAGAUAGAAUCACCAUUUGGCAAAUAGUUAUGAUUGGAUCAAAGAAGAUAAGAAAAUCUUAGAUUUCUUUCUCAUCUUUUGCAAUGAAGAGAUAGGAAGAAGAUAGAAUCACCAUUUGUCAAAAGGUAGGCAUGCAUGGUUACUCUG